rnacentral:lncRNA from 1 species
GUAGGUGUUGUUUGGUAAUUAUGUAGUUAUUUAAUUAACUGGAUGCAAAUCAUUUGAUAGUUGUCGCAAUUGUAACUACAUUUAAAUUGAUUAUAGUUUCAACUACAAUAGCAGUAAAGAUUCAAACCAUACCAUCUUUAAUUUACAAACAGAAAAAUUAUUAGGACUUUUACUUAUACCAUACCAAUUACUAUUAUCCAAAAAUUUUAAAUUUAUCUCUCUAUUUUCAAAAUAUACUUCUAAACGUCAAAUUCCAUUAGUAAACCCAAAUGUUAGGAAUAUAUUUGAAGAAAAUUUUGUAAGGUAAUAAAAUAUUUUGAUCCAUGAGAAGGUAUAUUAGUUAUUAUUCCAAAUAAGUGCAAUAUUUAUAUUUAUUGCUGUACAAAAUCGAAUAAAUAGAUAAUUGUAGUAAUCGCUGCUCUUUUAAGUGCCCACUACGGUGCAUUAUCUUAUUGAUGGUGCUGGAACAAACACGACCGGUUCGGACCGGACCGGACCAUUCCGAACCGGGCUCAGCAAGUAUUAAACCGCGUACCAUGGGAUCGUCAUGAGGAGAGAGAGCUCGGUAUGCGACAAUGGAGGAAGAGGAGCACGAGGUGUACGGCCAAGAGAUCCCCGACGAGGGCGAGAUGGACGGCGAGAUGGAGCCCCACGGCGCCGACGUCGACAUGGCCGCGGCGGAGGAGGACGCCGUAAAGGUUCUCCGAUCCCCAUCUGUUUCUCCAAUCUCAACCCUAACCCUAACCCUAGCGCUCCUCGGGGGCAGAUGCAGGAGCUGGAUGAGAUGAAGAAGCGCCUCAAGGACAUGGAGGAGGAAGCCGCAGCUCUCCGAGAGAUGCAGGCGAAGGUUGAGAAGGAGAUGGGAGCCGUACAAGGUUUGCGGAACUCUCUCUUUCCUCUAGGGUUUUGAGCUACUGAAACCCAAUGCUCUACUUAAUCUCUUCAGAAUUAGGUGACAGUUUGUGAAGUUUCGUUCUGAUCGGAUCUGUUGAGGUUUCUCGUGGCUUAUCUAAUUGUGCAAUUUCGUAUUUGGUAUGAUGGGAUUGAUACGCCCGCAAACUAAUUUUUUACAGUUAUUUGCUAUCCUGUUAGUUCUAGAAUUUAUGCGUUGUAUGCCUCGCGUGCUGUUCAUUAGAGUGGUCGUGGAGCUAAUGAUCGAAGGGAAUCGACGUUUGAGAAGGGGUGACUGUGAUAGUUGAUGAUUUGCAAAUUGAGUACGUGGGGAGUGAGGUUGAUUAGAACACUUGGUAAAUGUUAAAGGGCAGAUGAAUGUCUGAUGCAUGGAGAGAAAAAGAUGGCGUAUUUUACUGAUCAGCAAUGUCUUAGAAGGAGCCUUAUGGAUUUUUUAUCUUCCAGAUCUUUUUGUUGAUUUUUACCACACAUUUAAUGAAUUUCUUGAGUAAUUUCUGUAUGGUAUGCCUUUUUGGCUAUUACCUUCUAGUAAUACUAAUAUAGUUGAUGUGUUUAUUGCAAAUAGAUCCUGCAAAUGCAGCGGCAAAUCAGGCAUCUAAGGAGGAGGUGGAUUCUCGUUCUGUGUUUGUUGGUAAUGUAAGUUUCUACAUUCUCUUACUCUCUCAUGGAGAUAUUUGAUUAUGUUACUUGUUGGACUAUCAUUAAUGUGGUGGCUGUGUAAUGUGGUCAUAUUCUAUUCUUCCUGUCCUAACGUAUAUGUUACUCUCCAGCUGCUUGUUAUGCUUAGCAUUUUUCCCUCCUUGGUAUUCUUGUUACGUAAGAUUGAGGGAUUAUCUGCACUUUGAAAGUCCAUAAGCUAUUUACUUAUAUAGCUAUUUGAGAAUCUGAUGUUUGUUAGCUUGAAGUUGUUUUAGUGCUUAAUCAAUAUUGCUCAUUCUUUAAUUUAUGAGAAGUAUGGGUUAUGCGAAGGAACAUAGAUAAAUAAGAGCCAUUUGCCACAGGCCAAGGGUUAAAAAAAAAAAUAAAGAUCUUUAGUAGAUGUACUGCUUUAUGUAUGGUAGGGAUCAUAGUGAUAGUUAAAACUUGGGUCCUGUUUUCCAGUAAUGGACUAUCAAAGUAUGAGAACUCGCUGGGAUAGUUCUGUUGGACUUUUGCAUCAUUGGGGAUGAUAAAAUUGUAGCAUAUUGCUUCUAGGACCUUAUUAUAACUCUUUUGAAAAUGUAGCAGAUGUGUUAUUGUUUUGAAAGGGUAGCAGGUGUGUUAUGCGGAAGGUUUUUCUGUAUCUAUUGCUUUGUGUGGCCAUGAGUCCAUUGCCCACAGUGACUGUGAAUUUGGAGAUAGUUCUACUUUUUAGGGCUCACUGAAGUGGCUGCUCAAUAUUUGAAUAUUCGCCGAUUUGAUUGUAACCUUCAUACCUUUAAUAUGUGCCGAUUUGAUUGUAACAAUCAUACCUUUACCUCUGCAUCAAGCAAUGACUUAUUUCAAAAUAUCAUCCUUGAUGUAGACAUAUGCAAUCAAGAUUCAGGAGGCUGUAGGCUCCACAACAGUAUAUUUGUGAAAACAGUCUCCCUCUUGCUUCUUCCAGUCUUUUUUGACAAAAUAAGUAGUUCUGUUUCUUUACUUUGCAAUUCAUGGGUGCUGAGUUUGUCCAAUGUUCUUUCAUGCUCUUUAAUUUUAAGAUUCAUGGAGCAGUCUAAUGCAACUCUUUUCUAAAAUAGCUUAUUUACUAAUUCUUGCUAUUUGCCCUGGUUGUUAGGUUAGUUUAUGCAUUCUUGAUGUAAAGGGUCAUGUAAUUAACGCUAGGACCUCUAAAACAUUAUGGGUCUUCUAUGGGGGCAUGUAUAAGCAGCGUAGUUAAGCAAAGGCAAGAAAACAUUUUAUGUUCCAGAAUUUAUAGACCCCUGCUUUAUAGCACGUACAGUUUAAAUAAAGGAGUACUUGUGCAUAUAUUGGUGUCCUCUCAUUCACUUUACUCGUUUUUGUCCUGCAUUAGACUUUGGCUUCAAUCCGUUUAAUAACCAAUUUCACUUAGUAUUAUCUUUUUCAUUUUGUAGCAUCAAUUUGUUGUAUUCACACUUUUUGCUCUUUUAUUUGUUAAUUUAUAUCUUCCCAUUUAUUUUUAUCUUCCAUAGUGAUCCUAUUGACUUUAAUAAUGGUCGCAGGGUCAGUUUUCAUCAAGUUCUUUGAAAUCCAUGCUCCUCUGCUCUGGCAUAAUUCUGUGAUUAACAAAAGAAUAAAAAAGAAAAAGAAUAUACGUAACAAGAAAAAUUUAUUGAAAAAAAAAUGAAAAAGAAAGGCCAAAAGAAUGUGGGCCGAAGAGAAAGUUAAAAAAAAAAAAGUGUAAAUGCACUGAUUCGUUGAGAGGAAAAAAGAUAGAAAAAGAGAAGAAGAAAGAAGGCCCAGAUGAAUUUUUUUGUGAGAAUAAAUUAAGGAAAAAUGAGUGGAGGAACUUGGGUUCCUAGAGUGGCACUCACUAGUCAGGUCUGGAAGGACUGUUUGACUGAUCUGCAUCAGGCACCAAAGCUUAUAAAUGUUGGUCGACUUGAGCAUUAUGGGCACACAAGGGCGUGACAUGUAAGUGUAACCUUACAUGAGGCCUAACUUUUGUUGAUGUGAGUUUUGCUUGCAUCUAGAGUUGUUUUCUGUUACUCCAAGUACUUUUGUCGAGUCACAGCUUCUUGCUUUUAUUAGUCAUUGCCUUCAGAUGUUUCUCAGUUACCCACCUUAGUCAAUUUAUUUAUGCUAUUUGAUGGCUUUCUUUCUUACUUGCUUUUCUCUGUAGGCUUCUAUUUCCUUUUAUUGCACAUUUUCUGUGCCCCAGCUAUGUAGUGAGGUUGUGAAGAACACGAGUGUCGUACCUUACCCUUAUUCUCACUUUUUUGUGCUUGUUCGCUUGGUUGUUUCAUUAUCAAUAUAACCAUGCCAAUAAUGGAUGAAGAUUGUGAACCAAUGGAGUAAUUUCAUUAAGUUAAUCUGUGAAAGUAGAUCUCCUGGUUUUCAUUUGUUGAAGCAUUAUCGAAUUUGUUCUACUGAUGACCUAAUUUGUACGACAUGAAGGUGAUAGAUACCAGGAACUAAAGAUACCACGGAAAAUGACGAAUUAUAGACAGUAAAUCUUCUGUUAUUGCAAUGCAUGUUAGUCUCCUACUAUCUGUGAUAAGUUGCAGUGUGGGAAGGCACUAUGUUUCUCUUUUUCCUUGAACAUAAAAUAGUGAAAACGGAAAAUGUUUACUUGAUAGAAGAAGUUAUUUGUCUGAUGGGUGAUUUAUAUGAGGGGUUCGACAUGGAUGUUGCUCCCUGCUAAGCAUCAGAUAUUCAGUGACCAAUGAAUAUUGACUUGUAUUCUGUGGUCUUGCAGUUAAUCUUGAAUCUUCUUAUCUUGUAUCUUUUGUUAGUCAGAAGAGCAUUCUCAACAAUUACCUGUUAGCUGAGUUAUGAAAUAAUUGCUCUCUUGGAUAUUUCAUACACUAUUUUUUUUUGCUGAAUUUUCAAUGAACUUGUCACUGUUCUAGGUCUUAUUUUUAAAAAACAUUCUUUGAGGAACUAAUGAUCAACAUCCAAUGCAGGUUGAUUAUGCAUGUACCCCUGAAGAAGUGCAGCAGCAUUUUCAGUCUUGUGGAACUGUUAACAGGGUGACGAUCCUGACUGACAAGUUUGGCCAGCCAAAGGGCUUCGCAUAUGUGGAGUUUUUGGAAGUCGAAGCUGUUCAGGAGGCCCUCCUCUUAAAUGAAUCUGAAUUACAUGGUCGUCAGCUGAAGGUGCUGCGAUUCUUUGGAGCAUGGCAUUUUGUCACGCAAAAGUCGAUAAAUAUUCUAUGAAAUUCUCAUAUUUGAUAUUUUUUCUUUUGCAUUAAUGGAAAUACUGUUUCUCAGGUAGCGGCCAAACGAACUAAUGUACCUGGAAUGAAGCAACACCGCCCUCGGCGGUUCAAUCCUCACCUAGGCUAUCGGUUUAGGAGGCCAUACGUGCCUCCUUAUUUCUUCUCCCCUUAUGGUUAUGGGUAUGUUUGUUGACUUUGUUUAUGUUGUAUAAUUUGAUGGACUCUUUUUGCAAGCAUGCUCGGUUUACAUUUUAUGUCUUAAAUGUAUAAUUUGAUGGCCUCUUUUUUCAUGUUUCCAGGAAAGUUCCCAGAUUCCGGAGGCCAAUGCGAUAUAGACCAUAUUUCUGAUGUCGGGCCGUCUGAAGCCGUUUGUCUGUCCUUCUAGCCUAAUAAUUAGUGUCGUAACUAUCGCAGUAGUUUGCAGUAGUUUGCUUGUGGGAUUGAUUCACUUGAUUCCAUCUGCAGUAUGGUUCUUUCAAAACAUUUGCUGAAUUAUUUGAUAUUGUAGCUGUGUGCCAGUGAGGACUAUGGAUGCGACUAUGGAUGAGGGACAAUAAACGGUAACCAUCAUCCUGUUUGAUAAAUCAAUAACUAUAAUGCCUAUACUAUAGGUUUGGCUUUUUUACAGCUUGCUUGAAUUUUAUGGCUGCUGAUGGUUACAAUCUUUUGCGGAAUCUAACUUGUAAUUGUAUGCUUUUUUUGUUUUCUUUUGGGCAAGCCAGUUAUCUUUGGCAUUUUGUUUCUGACCUUCAGAUUCGGUAGUUUAUUAAAGACUAUCCUUCAUUGAUUUGCUGCAAUUUAUUUUCAUGGGAUUUCGGAUUUGGUGCCAGAUCGCUCUAUUUCUCUAUCCCACCUUUUCCUGCCACUGUAGUUUUUUGUUCCCACAAGAAGUAAAUAAACGAUUACAGCUCCGCAUUAGGGCAUACUUGUCUGUUGUAUUUGUUGCGUGAACUUAAUUGUUCUAGGAAGAGGUGUUCUAAUGGAUUUUGGCAUUUCGGCCUGAUGAAUGGUGUGGCCCGUGAUAGGGCUGUUGUUGAAUAUGAGAUGGGCCAGUUUAAGAUUGGCUGGAAAUUAUUGGAGGCCAGCUCGUGUUCAGCGCUCAAGUGCGUGACGAUCUUGAAAGCCUAACUUGUGAUCAGAUUGUAAUUAGAUCGAGCUAGCUCAUAAUUAGCUCAAAUUGUCUAUAGCUGGAAAUUUAAGUCUCAAAUUGAUUAAUUUAAAAAAUGAACAUGUUUUGCAGAAAAAAAAUAGUCUAAUAUUAGAUGACAACUUAGAAAUAUUAAUGAAAUAAAAUUUGACUUUUAGACAAAUCACCUUACAAACAAAUUAAUCUAAAAAAGAAAAUAAAAUAUAUGUAUUCAAAACAAACUAGUCUAUAAAAUAUAAAAUAUAUGUAUUUGAAUAAUAUUGAGCGGAACAAGGAUGAGUUGAUCUUAGCUUGUAUUUGACUUGUUAAGAUAUCAAACUAAAAACUUCAGUUUGUAUUUUGACUUAUUAUUAAACGAGCGAUUUGAUGUCAAGUCGAAUACAAAUAACGAGCUAGCAAAUAACCAAGUAACGAGCGAAAUUGUUCGAGCCGACCCGUGUAAAGGCAAGUAAUCCUAUGGUGGUAUAUUUUAGCAUAUUGUAGUAAAGAAAAUGAAAGCAACCAAAUUUCCAACAUGGACGGUAUCCAGUCAGAGAUCCCAAGAAAUCCUUUGCUAACUUCCCAUGAUGAUGGCGAUGGACGGUAUCCAGUCAGAGAUCCCAAUAAAUCCUUUGUCCCCUUGAAUAAGGCACAGAUUUUUUCCAAUUACACCUAAUCAGAAGCAAGUUGGUAUUGACCAAAACAAUGGCGUAUUAAUGACGAUAGUACUAUUUCAAUUGCUCCAGUGAAUUGUUAUUUCCUAAAAUAGCUAAAAUUACCCCUGAAGAUGACAGGGCUAUUUACUUGUAGGUCGACUUUUAUAAUAUUGCUGGAUAUGUUAAUUAGUGCAUACAAAGGGAAUACCACUCAAUUUUCCGUCCGAAAGGGAUGAGAAUGUCAAUAGGCCGUGAAGCUUACUCUCAUGCCCACAUCUUGAACCACUUUAUUCUUUUAUAUCUCAACGACCGCAUCGAGUUGUUCUGGUUUGUUCUUUGUCCAUACAUAACCUGAAAAUGAGGAUAAAAAGAGGGCGAUAAAAUAUUACAAUACAAUCUCCCAUCUAAAGUCCUAAGGAGGGCAAAGAGCUGGAGUAGCUGUGCUGGUUGAGCUGCCGCGACGCGAUCCUCCUCUUCCUGAGCCGCUCGGCGAUGAUGAAGGCCAGCUCGAGAGACUGGGAGGCGUUCAGUCUCGGGUCGCAGUGCGUGUGGUAGCGCGAGCUCAGGUCGUCGAAGGUGACAGUCCGUGACCCGCCGAUGCACUCCGUCACAUUCUGACCGGUCAUCUCCAGGUGCACGCCUCCCGGGUGGCUCCCUUCUUGCUCGUGAACAUCGAAGAACGCCCGCACCUCCGCCUAAGUAAAUCAAAGAACCCACACAACAAAUUACCAUCGGUGAAACAUAAACUAAACUACGACGGUUGUUUUACUAGAAAGUAGGAUACCCGCAGUUAGAUAAAUCAUUGUAAUUUUUUGACCCAGUGAUACACAGUGACCAACUACCCAAGUCAGGCAGACUAGAAUAUAACAAGGAAUAAACCUAAAUCCACCAAACACCUUGGAGAAAUUCUACAAAGGACAUUUUGACCAGUCCCUUUCUGUGACUUAAAUGGCUCAACAACUUUUGUGACCUAUAAUUAAGAUAAGUGAAGACAAUAAUUAAACGAUAAACUAUAUGACUAGAAGAAAGCAAUCCGCCCAACUACUAGUGCUGGAUUAUGAAUAACUGCAGCAAAAUGAUGCAAAAAAAAGCCAUCUUUCAAUUACUUGUAAAGAAAUUAAUUUUGGCCAGAUCAGGUGAUGUUACAUUAUCACCUGAGCCCUGCAUUUGGGUACCAAUUAUUUCUAUGGGUAGUCCAAGAGAGCACAAUUUGACUUGAGUAGCUAUGGCCUACUUGAUCCGGCUGAAAAUUCUGUAGAGAUGUCGUAGGCUAAACCUAAUUGAAAGAGCACUUACCAGGUUUGUCAUUGCAAAAGCUUAUUUUAGUUUUCCGCUAUAGCAAAAGAUCUUUAGUUUUUAUCUACCAAAAGCUAAACUACCUUUCUUUGAAAUAUAGAUGCUCUUUCGGACGCCAAGCCAAGUCGGCACUAACAAAAACUUCUAGGAAAAGAGGAUUAUACCAGAAUUCGGUCGAAGGGCCGGGUCUUGAGGCCACAGGGGGCCUUGAUGGUGUUCCCGUGCAUCGGAUCGCUGACCCACGUCACAAUCUGGCCAGCUCCACGGACGGCCCUGAUCAGAUGAGGGAGCUUCACCCUCAUGUUCUCUGCCCCCAUCCUUGUGAUAAUGGUGAUCCUCCCUGGCUUGUUUUGAGGGUUAAGGAUUUCAAUCAGCUUCACCAGCUCCUUAGGGUCCAUCUUGUCACUCACCUGUUAAACAUCAUCAAAAGCCACACCUAUCAGAUCUAAUCUAAUGUAUGAAUCUAUAGUUCCAAGCUGAAAACAUGCAGAUUUAUCUGAACUAAAGGGCAGGGCAUGUCUAAAUAGACAUCUCAACUUAAAGAAGUUUCGAUUUGAACAACGAAGUUCUUAUUACCUUGAUGCCAAGUGGGUUGGCAAUGCCACGAAGGAACUCGACAUGGGCACCAUCGAGCUGGCGGGUGCGCUCGCCGACCCAGAGGAAGUGGGCAGAGCAGUCGUAGUAGAGACCAGAGGUGGAGUCCUCGCGGGUGAGAGCCUGCUCAUAGGGGAGGAGGAGGCACUCGUGAGAGGUCCAGAACUCGGUCGUGGUCAUGAUUGGAUGGUCCAUCGUGAGCCCAGCAGCAGCCAUGAACCCCAGGGCCUCAUCGACGCGGUGUGCCAGCUCCUGGUACCUAUUCGACAUUACAACAAACAACAUUUGGGCAUUAGCAUGCCUUUUCCUUUAAAACUACAAAGCUACUUUCUCCCCAAAUCAACAUUAUCAGAGCCCAAUACAGAUAGAAUUCAUAUGAUUUCAGUUCAGAAGAAUUUAAUCUAAUAACUAACAAACAAGCUUAAUUGAUGGCUCAUCAUUAGAAUGCAUCAACUUUUUUUAACGUACAACUAGUUAAAACAAAGAGAGCUAACAUAGUAAAAUUGCUGAUAUUAUAUAAUAUCAAGUGAAUCAUAAUCAAAUCAAAUCCUCCCUAAAUUAUGAAAUUUGGCCGCAUUAUCAGAAGUUCUGUUAAUCCCUAAGAAACCAAUUAAUAUCCUAUUAACGAAUAAUUGAAUCCCUUAGAACUCUCCAAUUUGAGAUACUCAUACCAACUAAUAAAGAGGAAAGAGACACUCAUGAUAGACACAUCCUAGCACUAAAUUAAACAAUUAACAACGAAAGAUUACCUCCAAAAAGAAGAAAAAAGAAUUCCAAUCUCUCUCUCUCUCUCUCUCUCUCUCGCUCUCUCUCUCUCUUUCUCUCUCUACUAAAAAUUCAAUAUUUCUAAGAAUGGGAAAAGAGAUUGGCGAGGGAGAGUGUAAUGGUGGACCAACCUAUCGCCCUGCUCGCUGUGCUCGGUGAAGUCGAGGUUCCAGUGGGUGACCCUCUGCAUGGCGGCGUAGCCACCGGUGGCGAAGGCGCGGAGGAGGUUGAGCGUCGCCGCCGACUGAGUGUACGCCCUGAUCAUCCGCUGCGGAUCCGGCGCCCUCGACUUCUCGUCGAAGGCGUCGCCAUUGACGUUGUCCCCUCUGUAGCUCGGCAGCUUCACCCCGUCCUUCUCCUCGAACGGGUCCGAUCUCGGCUUCGCGAAUUGCCCCGCCAUGCGCCCUACCUAUAGAAACAACGAGAUCGGAUGAUCGAGACCGAACGAACGAGACGAGAUCUCGGGUUUUGACGAGGUCUUGUUUGGUAAGAUCGAGACGAGAUCUAGGGUUUCUUACCUUGACGACGGGCAUUUGUCCGCCGAACAUGAGGACGGCGCCCAUCUGGAGGAGGAUGCGGAAGGUGUCGCGGAUGUUGUUGGCAUUGAACUCCUUGAAGCUCUCGGCGCAGUCGCCGCCCUGGAGGAGGAAGGCGCGUCCCACGGCCGCGUCGGCGAGUCGCUCCUCGAGGUGGCGCGCCUCGCCGGCGAACACGAUUGGGGGGAAGCUCUCGAUGGUCUUCAGCACCGCCGCGAGCUCCUCCUUGUUCGUGUACUCUGGGAGCUGCAGCGCCUUCUUCGAUCUCCAGCUAUCCACCGCCCACCUCCCCGGCUUCGCGGCGAUCGACGGGUUCUUCGCCGGCUCCGCCGCGUGCACGGCCGAGAUCCGCCACGGGCGCCGCCGCGGCGGGGCCGCUGAGGCGCGGAGGAGGCAGGGGAGGCGAGUCUUCGCCGCCGGCCCCGCGGCGGCGCCGCCGCCGGAGGAGGAGGGGAGGAGGGAAUUAGGGUUGCUCGCGAGGGCCAUUUUGGGAAUUGUUCUCUGUUAGGUUUAAAAAGAUUAGGGCGAGAAGAGAACGAACUCCUUCCACCGAACCCUGGGAACGCUGUGGUAAUGGGAGGGUUUGAUAUAUAGGAGCGAAGCGGGGGUUGGUGAGAGUGGGGAUGGGUAGUUGACGAGAUAAAGUCAUAAAGGGGUAUUACUAUUUUAUUGCAAUAAUUAGAUAAGUCAUUAGAGUCAUUAAUAAAAGAGUAUAUUGGGAAUAUACGAUUACAUGAAUUAUCUUUGUCACUUGCAAAAUGGCGAGCUCUUUCUCUACUCCGGACCUCCGGUGACAUAAUUGCAGUAGAUCGGGGACGUAAAAAAUGUUUAAGCCAAGAUGGACGUUUCUGACGUGGCGUCAUGCGAUCCGUGUUUCUCGUGGGACCCACUGGAAUUGGACCGUGGGGCACAUCUGGUUUCUCUUCGUCAAGCCGCCGAGUUGGGCCUGAGACUCGGCGUGCGGGCUCCGGUUUUGGUUGGUGGGGAAGCCUGCAGUUCACGUGCUAAGGUACGUCUUGAAUUCAACGAAUGUGUAGAGCUAGCUAUUAUAUCGAUAAAAGGAGUUAAUACUUUCCAUUUUUAAUUUUUAGAUCAAGAAUUAUAUGAUCAGAAUGGUAGUGGUCUUUUUUUUAACUAAAUAAUUUUUUUAGAAUUAAGUGUUUUCUUUAGAAUAAUAAUAAUAAUACAAAGAUCAUAAAUGGUUAAAAAGAUUAAUUUUAAGAGCUUAAAACUUGGAAGCAUAAACUCUUUUAUACUUCUGAAAACAUAAUAGCUCUACUCUUCAACGAAUUUAAUUACUGAAUAAUUAAUUAAAUUUAAACAGACAAUUUAAUAAUUUGUUCCCAAUAAGCAUGAUGAGAUAAACUUUGAUGACACCAAACAUACCCAUGGAUUAGACUGUUGGGCCUGCUGUGCGUCGGCCUGUUGGGCUGGUCAGAGCUGAUGUGUUAACUCUGAAAUUAAAAUUUAAAAUAUUCAAAUAUUCAAAUAGUAAAUUUCUGAAUUUUGGAUGCUUACUUUUUUUUUUAAAAAAAAAAAUUUAAAUACAUUUUCUUGUUUCAAGACAGCGGAAACUUCUGCGGACAGCACAGCGGCUCUAAGACGCCGGCAAGCCCGAGGCCCACCCGCAACCCACGUGAGCUCCACCACCUUCUCCGGUCCUUCACCUCCACUAACCAACUCCACCCCCCACAACCCGCCCCGGUCCAAUGCCAAUUGACCCGAACCCGGCCCCGCACUCUCCACCCAAUCCUUAUCCCACCACCGCCACCACCACAACCGCCACCAACGCCACCCCUUUAACACCUCCCCUACCCCCCAACCCAUGCCCCCGCCGAACCCUAACCCUAACCCUAACNGCCACCCCUUUAACACCUCCCCUACCCCCCAACCCAUGCCCCCGCCGAACUCUAACCCUAACCCUAACCCUAACCCUAACCCUAACCCGAGCGUCUCUCCCCCCUGAUCCAUGUCCGCCUUAGCAGGAGAGCCCGAGCGCCGUCCCCUGCCUCCUCCGCCUCCGGCGCCGGCGACGCGGAGGCUCGGGCCCGGCCAGCCGUGGUCGCACCUGGAGACGGUCCACCUGAUCGACGCCUACGAGCAGCGGUGGUACGCCCUCAAGCGGGGCCAGCUCAAGGCGCAGCAGUGGGAGGAGGUCGCCGCCGAGGUCGCCGCGCGGUGCGGCUUCGAGCGGCCCUCCAAGACCGGCACCCAGUGCCGCCACAAGAUCGAGAAACUCCGCAAGCGCUACCGCGCCGAGCGCCUCCGGCCCGUCGCCUCCCCCUGGCCCUACUUCGAACGCAUCGACCGCAUGGAGCGCGGGCCCAUGCCCAUCUCCGUGCGGCCCCCUCCCUCGCGGCUUCCCCAGGCGCUCCCGAUCGCGUCCAGCGACGAGGAGAACGACGACGCCGAAGACGACGACGGCGCGGGCGAGGACGACGGGGUGCGGAUCGCCAGCAACACGCGGAGCAUCAAUGGGAUCCUUCGCGAGUCCAGCUGGGGGUUCCCUAGGGCAUCGGCGAACCCUCCCCCUCUUCCCCCGCGGAAAUUGAGCCAUUACCAGAAGGUUGAAGCGGAAGACGAUGAUGAUGACGACGACGACGAAGAUGAUGAAGAAGAGGAGGCGGAGGAGGAUGUGGGAGUAAAGCUGAUGUCGCAGCUCGCGACAGUGGUGCGGAGGUUCGGAGAUGGAUUGGAGAGGUUGGAGAAGAGGAGGAUGGAGCUGAUGAGGGAGAUUGAGAGGGAUUGGAUGGAGAUGGAGACGAAAAGGGCUGAGAUGGUGAUGGAGUCGCAGCGCUAUCUUGUGGAGACCAUUGCCGGUGCUUUCACCUCAGCAAAGAAGGCCAAGAAAGCCCGGGAUUCAUGAGAAUGCUAAUAAUGCCAGGUCCUGCAAACACAAUCUCCAGACCCUGGUCUUUCUUAAUUAGAAAAAAGAAAUUUGGGCGGAGAUCGCGUUUCCUUUUGACUUUGCUAAUUUAAGAUUUUAUUUUUCAUGCCCUUGACCCAAUACGGAUGUAGGGAUCUUGAAUAAUCUUGAAUAAUAGAAGUAGAUUUGGUUUAAUAUUUCUACUUGGGACCCUACAGUUUUACUAUGCUGAUGGUAAGUUUGCAUGCUCAUGCGACUUCAUAUCUGGUAUGUGCUCUCUUUAUUCGGCCAUAUGGUUCUGCAUAUGCCCUUGCAUUAAACAUCUCAUCUGUUGUUCAAGUUGUUCAAGCUUUUCAUAACCAUUGCCCAACUUCUGUUUUGUAGUUGAAGGCAAAGUAUCGCCGUUACUGAAGUAAAUGUCUGACAUUCAAAGAUGGUUCAUGACUUCUAUUAAUGUCUGAUCUUUUGCAUUUAGCAUAUGUAGCUUGAUAUAUUGAAUGCAUUUGGCAUGUCAUGUAUCAUAUCAGGUUAAAAUAGUUCUCUCUUUUAAAAAUUAGAGGUAGGUUUCUAAAUGAUAAUCUAUUUGUCCUUGUUCUUGGCAUUCCAUUAAUUAGUCUUUUAGGAAUUUGUCUUUUUUAAACAGAAAUUCAAGACCCUAUGUGCAAUGUAUUUUCACGGAUGGCUAUAUUUGAGUCCUACUAAUUGCAGCAAGUGCAAUUUGUGUUUUCUCUUCAUUAUGAUCGAUAGAAUUUAUACUAGUUGUUGUAUACAAUGUCAAAAUGAAUUGCUCGACUUUCCACUGACUGUGAACGUACGAUAAGUUCAACUUAUGGAUUUAUGACUCCUUAUUCACUUGCCUCUUAAUUUGCUUAUUUUUUUUUACUUUAUUAUAGUUUACUUCUGAGUUGCAACUAUUUCAUGGCUUCUAGAUGAGAAAGGGCAAUAUCGUCAUUGCUGUUGAUUAUAAUAAGCUUCUAAUGAUUGUAAGGACUGCAAGUAUGCGUUGCUUCUGAAGAAUGGAAGUCAUGCAUAAAUAAGAUGUUAGAAUACAUGUGCAUGAUGCUGAGAUAUAUUGCUUGAAACAGAACAGGAAAAGGCAAUAACAGCUCUUCAAAUAGUACUGUAUUUUAACCAGCUAAUGUAUGGUCUUAGAAAAGAACUUGCUAAUAUAUCAAACUAAUCUAGAGUCUUGUUAAGUUUUGGAUGGUGGUCUCUUUAACAAUGUGCGUUAGUGUGUUCUGCUGCACAUGCCUAAGCUGUGAAUCUGGGCCUGGGGCUAGACAUAGGAAGCAUACAGAUCGUCUUAAUUUCAUCAAGAUGGAUUUUGUUGCUUUAUGUUUGGAUAUGUAUUUUUUUAAAUUUUAUUUGUUGGCUGCUUUGAAUUUACAUCUCUUCACUCUUUAAUACCCUGGAAGUUGAUACUAGAUAGCUUGCUGCCUGGUUUAGUCACUGCAGCCAUUAACUUACUGCUUCCAGGGAUGGUCUAGAAAUGAGCUUCUGUUUUCAAAUUUGGUUUCCUCUUUGAAAAAGAGGAUUAGAAUGUGGUAAUUUAUUAGUGUGUUGCCUAAAGUAUGACUGUUGUUAUAAUGCUCGGGAGGAAGUAUGAUGAUCCUUGUACAUGCCUUGAUACAAGAAGAUGUCAAAGAGAAUUGUUUGUGUGAAAGUCAAUAAAGAUUAUUGAUGUAGAGUGGGUUAGGCCUUUGCAAGGGGAUAGGAAAAAGGGACAGGUAGAAAUUCUAGUUAGAAUUCUGUACUGCUUAUGUCCGUUGUUUACUGAAAAUCUAGCAUUAGGGUGAAGUGCAUCAAAGGUUUUCAACUUUAGUGGGAUGGAUCAUACUACUGUCUUGUUGCCUGAACAGUGAACAGAAGUGGUUUUUUUAGACUAUUGACUGGCAUUUACUAGGUGGGUAGAUAGUUCGGCAACAAGAACAAACUUAAAGGAUGUCAACUACAUUUGAAGCUUUAGGAUUCCCUCUACUGUGCAAAAGUGAUGAAAAUCAGAUCUUAUGGUCGUGAUCAGUAAAUAACAGAUCAAAACAAGGAUUUCUUGUAAAUGAUGAAAUCGGAUUACAUGUUUGGCGUAAUAAUUGUCAGAGCCUUAUGUAAUUUCAUGUUACAGUGUUGAAUAGUAGUUGCAACAUGCGUGAAUUCUGUAUGCCUUAUUUUAAUCUAUUUGUAUAUUUUCCGUAUCAACCAUGUGCAACCAUGUAGUUUGCUGGUCCAAGCUUAGAAUGCGCUAACAAGCAAGUCUUAUUGGAAUGGUGUUGUAAUUGUCGAUGAUUUUUUUUUAAAAGAUUUGAUGUGAAGUUGGUCAGUUCUAUUAGUGCAAGUGUGGUUAGAGUACUACUAGAUUUACUAUACAUAAUCUGACUCUCACUGGAACCUGAUCAUGAUAAGAGUCUCUAGAACCUGGAUUGAACUUGUUAAUGCGCCCUUUGCUGUCUCUGUGUGUUUUGUUUUCUACAUUCAUUGUUUGAUAUUCUGGGCUAGGUGCAAAUCACUAGACAAUAUGAUUGAACGUUGUUUUAGCAGUAAGAAAUCAUAUUAUUACUUAUGAUUUGUUACUCACAUUACUACUGGCAAGAGAUGUUCUAUCUUUUUUUAUUGCAGUCAUUUAUACUACACGAAGUCAAUGUUCUCCCUAGAUGAUCUCUAUUACUCUGUGAUACUCAUCUAUAUAUUUAUGCAGAUAUCUAAUUUUUAGGAUAUAUUUGAAUGCCGGAAUAAGAUAUCUAAUGAUAACUUAUUUAAUACAAGAACUCUUCUUAUAUUGUGUGAUUAGAAAGUUUAGAAGGUCUUGAUAUUUAUGAUUUGGUAAGGAGUGAUUUGUUUUAUUCCGAAAGAAUAAUUUGAAAGCUCAAUAUGUUAUUCAUUCUAGAUAUUUGAUCACAUUCUUCAUCUUUUAAAUAUUAUACAUGUUUUUUGAGUAAAUUGAAUUGAUAUAAUGAAUAAGAUAUUUUUAUGUCCAAACAGGGUAUUAAUGUAUUAUAUUAGGAUGUAUAGGAUUUUCUCAGGUCAUUUGUAACAACUCGGUACAUUCUCAAAAGUCCUGGGUGUCAGCUGUGGUUACGCGAAAAACCUUUUGCAGGGGAGGAUUAUACGUCAAUGAAAGGGCCGGUUAUGCCAAUAAUGAUAGGGAUUCUCUUGUCAUCUAGUACAACUUUAGUCAAUUUGCUUUUGAAUUUUGUUGGGUUGGGUUGAGUUGGAUUUGUUGGACCAAAAUCAUGAAUAAACGACAGACCAUAAAAAUCAUGUAUAAUAUAUAUUUAUAUUUAUCUUCAAUAAACUUGAUAACGCUGAUGUGCUAUCUACAGUUUUUUUUGUUUUUUUUAGGAGAGUUACCACAUAUUUCUUUUUCAUACGAAUCUCAAUUUCAAUUUACACGCGUGGAUAAGGAAAUCUAAUCCCAUUAACUAUCAAAACGAUUUUAUCUAACCAUAGUGACAGCUUUAUUCGAAGAUUUAUAGGUAAGUAGAAUCUUACGAAUUAUUAUUAUCCAGCAUAGUUUAACUUUAUCCCCAAACGAAAGCCGUCCAAGCGUGACUCGAGAAUAUCCGGAAGUAUAUAAGUUUAGAUAAGGCAAAUCCGAACACUGUCAUGUGGGCCCCACUGCUAGUAAAAUUAUAAUGAUUUUAUUUUCUUAUAAUGGAAGAAAAAAUAGAGGGUCUAAUUCCGAAGUGUAGAAUAGUUGAGGGUGUCUCCAUGCAUUGUCACCUUCGAUUCCGCUCAUCUCACCUCGCAUCGUCCCAAAGCUCUCCAAUUUCUCCCUCUUCCUCGUCCUCCUCUCCGCUCUUGUUACCUCCGCCAUUUUUUUCUCCUCUCCCACUCCCAUCAAUCCACAAAAAAGAAACCCUUGCUCGAGCUCCGAUCCAAUCCGAUGCCUCCUUAACCUCCUCAAGAUUUCGAGGAGGAGGAGGAGGAGGAGGAGGAGAGGCGAUGUCCCCCGCCACCGCCGCUGCUUCCCCUCGCAACCUACUGCCCCUUCCUCGCCCUCGUCGAUUCUACUCACUCCCCGUUCCUGGGUAUCGCCUAAAAAUCCCUCCUUUCUCCAAUCGCUCUUUAUCCCCACCGCUUUACUCACAGUUCACGACUUUUGAGCCCAAAAAGAGUAGAUUCGCCUCUUCGGUAAAGAGCCCAUCUCGGUUGCCAAUUGCCGUGUACUUAUCCGGUAACACAAUACUCAGAAACCCACUUUCCCAAAUUCACCAAAAAAGUGAAAAAACAGAAGAAGAAAUGAUUGGAAAAGAAGCUAAAGAUUUGAUGUUUCAAGUGAGGAUGUCAGUGGGAGUCGAGAGAAGGAUCUACCGGGCCAGCCGAGCUUCGACGCCGUGCUUUCGGCGGUUGAAGUUCUCUGCAUCGUGCCGCCCGCCAUCUAUUCGAUCGGGUGCCUCAUCGGGUCGGUGCUGCCGCCUGCGGCGGCCAAACAGUUCCAGGCAUCGGCAGGGAAUAAGCUUUUUGUAUGGCAGUAUUUUCUCUUGGUCGGUGCGUUGGAGAUUGGGUGUUUGAUUCGGUGGCGGCAGUGGCGACGGCUGUAUAGGGUGAAUGGGAGCGGUGUGAGUGUUGAUCUGAUCGGGAGGAUCGAGAAGGUGGAGGAGGAUCUGCGGAGCUCCACGACCAUCAUCCGCGUGCUCUCGCGGCAGCUUGAGAAGCUCGGGAUUAGGUUUAGGGUUCUAGGAAGGCCUUGAAGGAGCUGAUUGCGGAGGUAAUGCUUGUUGCAAUGAAGCUGUGACUUGUAUAUUUUAGAUUAAUUCUGCAAUUUGCGGUUGCUUUUAUUGCAAUUGGUCCUUAUCUUCGGAGAAUUUGUGAUUGUACUGAACUUUAGGCCCUUCUACAUAUAAUCUCUUUUUUCGAUAGUUUCUGCUAGAAGUAUUUGUCCAGAUAUCAUCUCAUUGUUAUGCAGAACGUAAUCUAGAACGAGGACUUGUUUUAGAGUAACAUCGUCGCAUUUAUAUGAUUUGCUAUAGAUAUGGUGUGUUUGCUAUGAUCUUUUGGUGUUUCACAUUUCAUCAUAAGAAAUGAAAAUAUCUGCUUUGUCGGAUCAUGUUUAUCCUGCUUCUGCUAUUUGCCUUUGAUUUGCAAUUUUUUUAAAUAUAUAAGUUCAUACUCUUACUUAAUGAUUGACGGGCAGUGGUAUGGGACAUGUAUACAGCAUGAUAUUGUCUGUUGAUAUGGUAAGUUUGAGAAAAUAGAGUAUAAGUUGAUCAGGAUACAAAAAUGCCUCUAAAUAUUAUACGUGCGCAUAUCUGAUUAUGCAUAGAAUACAUAAUUUGCAAUGGUAUGCAUUUUUAUGAUUCAGCUUCAUCUGGCUCUUAAAGCGUACCAUCGUAUAGUUCUCUUCCUUAUUUUAUUUACAUUUUAUUUCUAAUCAAUACGAGAGAAGCUGAUUUUACUGUAGUCUAACAAUUCAGAAGUGACGUCUCAACGCCCACUAGAGUCUUAUAUAGUUGGUUAGAAGUAGAUAUCCAGACGAUGACGGAAUAUAAAUAUAACCAUGUUGAAUAGUUAUUAGAUGGCUACGAAUCUGAUAUCUUGUAUAUGGGUGUAAGGGUGUUGAAGGAUAAGUAAUCUAGAGUCGUAGAGUUCUCGGUGAUGUAAAGACUAUAGAGCUUAGGGCGUGGUUAUGUUUGAGACCUUCAACACUAAUAUAAAUAGCAAGCAUUUAUGCUAGUUACCAACUAUUAGGAGAGGAGGAAUUGAUGGUUCCUUUGCUUUUCAAUAUUGGCUCCUUCAAUUAUCGUGUGCUCCAGUAAAUUAAAGGUACUGGUGAAACCUAAAUAUUUACAAUUCCAAGUUCCUUGGGCAGUAGUCAAUUAAAUGACAAAAUCCUUUUUGAAGAAAAAAAAAAAGAAAAAAUAGACAUUUCGUCAAUGCGUUGAUCCUGCAUUCUUGCUGCAUGUAACACAUUUUUAACCUCAGAAAUUGAAGGGUUUCAAUAGAAGAAAUAGACAUUUGGUCAAUGCAUAGAUCCUGCAUUCUUGCUGCAUGUAACACAUUGUUAACCUCAGAAAUUGAAGGAUUUCAUCUAUAUUCACUUAUGUUUUGACACGUGUGCAGACAGCAGCUUUGGCACAAAAGAAUUCUGAAGCUACUGGAGCACUAGCGAUGCAAGAGGACAUUCUCGAAAAGGAGCUUGGUGAAAUUCAGAAGGUUCUGUUGGCUAUGCAGGUGACUCUUGUGAAUGACUUUUUCUUUCCAUGUUCAUGUCUUUAUAGUAUUAAGGGUUAACUUUUGUUAGGUUAUGGCUCCUCAUUACCACAUGGUUUGCCAAUUAUUUUUCGGAGGUUUCUUUCAAAACCUUAACAUUAUGUCUUCUAGAGUUUAAUGAGUUAUAUUUAUGAUGAUUCUUUGAGUAGAUCUUCAUUUGGUCGUUUGUUCUGAUCCCUUUGUUUUGCAAAAUUAAAAUUGAGGAGAUCAGGGCAACCGAGAUACCUGGAGGAUCUAGAAUAGCCACAUAAUUCAGACUUAUUUGGCAAUCUGGAAGCUGCUUCUGAUAAUGUGUAUUCAGUUCUCGAAUGCAUUCUUUGAGUAGAAAAAACUGCUUAUUUUGAGAAUUUGAUGGGUGAAUGCAAAGAUACCCUGAUGAGAUUUAGCAAGAUCAAGAUGAUCAUAGAGAGUGAUUUGAUGUUAGACUGAGUACAAAUUAGCUUAAAUCAAAAAAUUACUGGACCAAAUCCAAACCAUACAACAUAAGCAUAUUGAUAUUUGAUAAGAAGCAUCUUAGAAGAUUGAUGCCUGGAUAAUGAAUUGUUCAUUUAUGAUUUCCAGAAAUAUAAAAAAGAACAACCCCAAAAUGAAAGAGUUAAGAGAAGCAAAAGGUGAUUAGGUGAACACUUAAAAAGCAAAUUGGAAUAAAGAUCUAGGAGAUAUAAGCUGGACGAUGGAGGAAGUCUUCUUUUCACCCUUGAAUACCAACACGCAGCCUCCUUGCUUUAGCUCCCAGCAUGCUAAUUGGACUCCUGUCUUGUGUUUCUAAAAGUUCAGCUUCAAACAUUAUUGUUACCUUCUGCUUUUAGUUUCAAAUCAUGAACUUAAAAUACUAACCUUAUUCUGGGAUACCAAUUGGGUCAGAACUGCAUCUCGUAUGAAACCUUCCGAUUCUUCUAAUUUUCAUCUAUGUUCUGUAUUUGUAGUUGGAUACUAAGAUCUUCUAUAUGAGUCAGAUGCCACCCAUUUUUGGCCUUUGUCAGCAGUAGUGGAACAACAGGUUUGGAACCAACAAGACAAUCUCUCCCUGCUAAAUUCAUCAGCUGUGUAUGAUCUUCAUGGACAUCGUUUUUAUGUCUUGUGACUAAUAUCCUCAGGCUACUCAAAUCUUUGGUCUUCUGUCCCCUCUUUAAGUUGUGUGAAUCCUAUAUCCCAUCUUCAUGUCAACCAUGCUAUAUCUUCAAGUAAUUAAAAAAUUGCCUGGACUGAUUUGCGUGAAAGUUGAAGAUCAACUUUUUCCGUGCAAUAUUAGUUGACUUCAAUAAUUGAGCUAGCUAAGUUUUCAAAAAAUUUAAUUGAGUUAGCUCAUGUUAUUAUGGAUUUCAUUGUUUGCUGUUUCUGAUCUCACUGUGAAAAAUUUCUGGAUUCCAUGCUUGACUGAGCACUCUCUUCAAAGCCAAACAGAUGCCCAUCCAGUUUCACAUUCUUCAACUAAAUAUCUUUCUAUUGAAAUACUUACGCAGGAACAACAGCAAAAGCAGCUUGAGCUGAUCCUUGCUAUCGGCAAGGCAGGAAAGCUAUUAUUAGAUGGUAAGCGAGAGUCUGCACUAGAAGAGGGUAACACCGUCGUUGCUACUCGCAUUCCAGAGAAAAGGGAGAAGGAAGAGCUCAAGGUGCAGUCUAAAGUAGUUGCUGGAGGGAAUGACAAAGCCUAGAUUUUCAAUUUUCUUUGAAAUACUUCUCAGCACGGCCCCCGGAGGUCACAAUUUUUCAUGUAAGUUUGGAUUAAUUGUAUAAUUAAGGUCGUGGUUAAGAAAUACAAAUAUGGGUAAUACGCGCCUGCAAUAUUAAGUAGUUAAUGGCUGUAUAUGAUAUGAAUGUGUUGAGAAAUCAUUGGGUUGGAGCUCUAAGAUUAGUUGUGUCAGUAAUCCGAUGAGCACGGAAUUUUGGGAAUAAAUUCAAAAUCAGACUUCCUAGUGUAAAAACAUGGUGAUUAUUCUGAAUGUUACUGAUGUGGGGAAACAAAGAUUUCUUUUCCACUAUUUGAGCCUCAUUUAACUUGGCUGUAUGUUUUCUAGUAGGCCAUCCUCUUUGUUAGUAAAAGAGCAGUAUAUGUAGGGGUGUAAAACGGGCCGGGCGGCACGUGGGCCGCCCGGUCCGGCACAGCCUCGGGCCGGGCUACAGCACGGCACGGGUACUGUAGCAUCCGUNUAGUCUAUAUAUAUAUAUAUAUAUAUAUAUAUAUAUAUAUAUAUAUAUAUAUAUAUAUAUAUAUAGGCUAGGGCUACUAUACUUUUAUGAGUAUAGCUGUCACGCCCCGGGGUCCCUUUUCAGUUUAAAACAAAGCGGAAAAGCGUCUGAAUUUUUUUGAAAACCUGACCCGAGAGUAUGCCAGAUCUGCCACAAAUACAGGAAAUCCACUGUUCACACGGACAGAGUCUCCCUUGUAUUUGUACGGCGUCGCACAAGUACAAGAAGUCAUCCAGGCACAACCACAACAAAUGAACAUACAAAUAACCAACCGUUAUAUAUAUUCAUACACCAUUCACCAUAGAUUCACAUUUAUGCAUAAAUCCACACCUAUCAGUUAAAAUGUUUCCAACCACAGAAACAGGUUUUGAAAUACUAAGAUGCAAAAUCCACAGAAAACCUUUUGAAAACUGUUUCCUACACGAAAACCUUUAUUCUUUAAAAACGCUACCACCAGGGGGAGAAAACCUUUUAUUUUACAAAAUCCAGAAAUCCGUUUAUUACAUUCACGAAAAUCCAUAUUUUCAAAUGUAAUAAAAAUACUGAACCAUAUAACUAUUUAAGCUAUAACAACUAAAAUAAUAAGGGUAAUAACUAUACCGAAAUAACCUGGGUCGGAAGCUCUAUCGACCGCUACACACGUACCUCACGUCUCGUCCUACUACUCAUCGCCCACGAUACCUAAAAAAAAAAUGGUGGGGGAGGUGAGAACAUGUAAACAUGUCUCCCCUCCCAGUGGGUACCGCAAGCCGAAGAAGGCGAGGAGUACUCACCGGAUCAGGAAGAGCUAUAUAACAAUACGGGUCAGUGGGAAUACAGUAGGAACAAUAGUAAACGAAAGAGAUGUAUAAGGUAAUGAGCAGAUAUACUAAAUACAGUAGCAAUAAUAAUACAUGAACAGAAUGUAUAAGAACGACUACCGCUACUGUAAGAAGAAUAUAAAACAUACCUGGGUAUCAAACUAUAGUAGCAAGACAAGUAUAUAGAAAGAACUGUAAGUAUGCAUGCAAUAACUGCUACUAUAGGCGUAUGCGUCAACGGGACAAUCAGUCCAAAAGUACCCAAUCUAAAACCAAUGCUCUCUUGGUCAGCACCGCAGACCUCAAGCCAAUGCCACUACUACUCUCCAGUGCAUAUAACCCCUCUAGGGCUCACGGGUUGUCACCAUUCACCCACUUUUUCGGAAAAGAACACUCCUUGCGGUGGAUCAAACCGCCAGUGUUCGUGAAAUGCGACGAGUAUCGGGCGAUCAAUGCAAUAUGCUCAAUGAUCAACCGUCGGCAACCAGCCGGCAAUCCUGCCCCCCACGGCCCAUCGACCGCAUGUCAUCAACUGUAAGGAAGCACAAUAACCGACCACUCAGGUCAACUAGGAUGGGACAACAUCGACAUCCUCUCAAACAUAUGAAAAUACUGCUCAAUGAACCACAAGGACUGACCACUCAGAUCAACUAGGAUAUGAAACUCGACCAAUCAUGUCACAAGUAUAGGAUAUGAAACUCGACCAAUCAUGUCACAAGUAUAGGAUAUGAAACUCGACCAAUCAUGUCACAAGUAUAGGAUAUGAUGCACUGACCGACUAGGUCACAAACAUGUCAAAUAGUGAAUAUGAGUAAAGUAUAAUCAUCCGUCGGCAACUAACCGACAAUCCUACCCCUCAGGGUAUACCGACCUCAACGGUCAUCAGACAACAAAGGUCGAGGAACUCACUGAAUAGGUCACAAAUACUGAAUACUAGAAUCGACCGACUAGAUCGCUGAUCUCACAGAUAAUCACGGAAUCGCUCUACUAUAAACACGAAUUAGGGUAUGGAGAAUAGCUAAGUAGAGCAACAAGGAAACAUGGUAUCACAUACAGAUAGACUAUACUCCUACACAUGAUACUAAGCAUGGAAACGUCUGAGUAGAGUAAAAUCAAACAACGUGGGUGUAAUAUAAACAAUAGAGGUGCAAAGCUCAACAUAUAAUAUAUGCAUGGGUAAUAACAAAAGAGCAAGGGUAAGAAACCAUCACCGAGCGUGCACCACUGUACCAACGUCGGAUCGAAGUACCCACCUGUACAACUGUCGCACCUGUCUCCUGACUGCAAAAGAACAUCAACAGGACCUAAGGAGGGUCCACUGGGUUAGUGUCUAACCCACAACUAAGAAACCCUAAAAGCAUAACCCCAUAAAUAAACCAUUGAAUACACAACCCACAAAAAUCCCACGGAGAUCGGUUUCCCAAAACCGAUUACCGAACAAAACGGAAGUCCCAAAAACCGCACCGAGACUCUGCUGGGACCCACGGACUGUCCCGGAACUCACCGACUCGUACUACGAGUCACCCGCUGCCACUAAAUACAAUUUACAUGUGACUUGGCAGCAAAGACCUUAACUCACUCCAAAACGAUUAUCGUCGGAUAAUCGUUCCGAACCGGGUUCCCGGAAGUGUCUAUUUCGACACCGGAACUAGGGGUGUAAAACGGGCCAGGCGGCACGUGGGCCGCCCGGCCCGGCACGGCCUCGGGCCGGGCUACAGCACGGCACGGAUACUGUAGCAUCCGUGCCGGGCCGGCCCGGCCCGAGCCUUCGGGUCGUGCUGGGCCGCUCAUAUGUAGCCCGACGGCCCGGCACGGCACGGCCCGAUACGGGCCUGGGCCGUGCCGGGCCGAGGGGAGGCGGGCGGCCCGGCACGGCACGGCCCGUUUGGGCCGUGCCAGCCGAGCCAGCACGGCCCGGGCCCUCAAGGCCCGAGGCAAAUGCUUUGGGCCUUGAGGCCUAAGCUCCUGGGGAGGAAGGAAGGAAGGAAGUCCUCCUCCUCCCCAGGAACUCUCCUCCCAAGGUCCAACCUUGGGAGGAGAGGCGCCCAUGGCACCUCCCGCAGCAGCUCCGCCCACGGCCCCGACGCCGAACCCCUGUCGCCCCCGCUCCGGCACCGGCCCCCAAAUCCAAGGCCCCACCCGUCCGGCCGUCCCCCUCCGCCUCCCCGACCUCCUCCCCCCGGCUCCCCCGACCUCCUCCUCGGCCACCUCUUCCGAGAUCCCCUCCACCGAGACCCCCUCCUCCCCGGAAAGCCCACGGCCCUCGGAAAACCCCGCGCCUCCGUUAAUUUUUUUUUUUAAAAAAUAAUACAAAUUUAUUUUUUUUAAAAAUAAAUAAAUAAAUAUUUACUACAUUAUAAUUAUUUUUAUAAAUUUUUAAAUAAUUUAAUCAAAUUUAAACUAAAAUUUUAAAAUAAUUUUAAAACAUAACUAUUUUAAUAGGCCGGCCCGAAGCACGGCCCGGCCCGGCACGGCCCGUGCCUUCCGGGCCAGAGGCUAGGCAGUUUGGGCCCGGCACGGCACGGCCCGAAAUUGAAGGCGGGCCGGGCCGUGCCAGCCACUAGCCCGUUUCGGCCCGAAAAAUGUGGGCCGUGCCGGCCCGGCACGGCCCACAUUACACCCCUAACCGGAACCCACCGUCGCUCACUCGUCAUUUUCGAACCCUCGAAAUAACACGGGUGACCAGCCAACUAGGCUCAGCGACACAAUAAAUCAUCCCGAGACACCGUCGGAAUAAUUCCGAACCGAAACCGCGUUCCGUCGGCGAAUUUUGCCGACAAACGCACCGGAAUGCCCUUUUCGAUCUUCGCAAUGGUCCGGGGCCUUGGACAAUCAGUCCAGAGGUCACCCACAACUCAUCCAUGCUACCAACAGCAGCCGCGACGAACAAAGUUGCAUAAAAACCCUUCCGAAUACUCGAAAUCGCAUUAUUUCAUGCGAUUUCGGCGCUUUUAUGGUCCGUCCAUGCAAACCAGAGGUCAAUCAGCCGAGCCAAGAUACCCACUGACAGGUUUCGACGUGCCGCAGGCCGUGCUCACCUUUCGGAGCAAUUUUGGCCACUGUAGAGAGUGCGGGGGUGACGCGAAAGUCUGCGAACAGCGCGCACAGCAUGAAAAGCAUGCUUAUCUCGCUAACCAGGGGCUCUCUGACCCUAAUUGAGGUGAGAACUGUGAUCAGCACUGACUGAUGAUCACCGUGCUCACUUCCGGAGGCAUCGGAACAGCCUCGGGUCGCCGGAACACUAUACACAAUCCCAAACAGUGCACAAUAAUAGCAAUACAAGCUUACCGGAGCUAGGCAGGGCUCGGGGUGGCCGGCGGCGGCCGGACGGCGGGCAGGCCGGCCAAGGGAAGGUGCUCCAGGUCAGAGGAGGUCGGGGCUCGCGUCAACAGGCGACGGGAGGCGGCGACGACGGCGGGCAACUAUGCCCUAGUUGCACAACCCGAGGAGAGCAUGGGCUCACCACGGUUGACAGGGAGCUCCGGCAGCGGGUUAGCCGGCGGUGGACGGGUGCGGCCGGCCAGGCGGAGUCGGUGCUCACGCCGGACGGCGGCGGCGCCGGUGCUGGAUGUGGCUCGGUCUACACAAAGCCCAACCGGGCUGAGCCGAACAAGACGGCGGCGCUGGCGGCCGGGAGAGGUCGGGGGUGCACAGGGGCGACGGCGGUGGUUCGCCGGAGGCCGAGGGAAGGCGGCGCAGCGGAUCUGGAGUGGCGGCGGCGCGCGGGCCUCGAGCCCAACGUGCUCGGUCUGGGUUGACCGAGGGUGGCCGCUGGGAGCAGGGGCAGCGCCGGCGGCGCGUGCGGGCGGUGACGGCCGACGGCGAUGGCGACGGGGAGUUCCAGGAGGGUGGCGCUUCCAAUCCUGAGUGGCAGCAGGGCGAGGAGGAGGAGAUCCCACCACCUCGGCCAGAUCGGCUCAGAUCUGGCCGCAACUGGCCAGGGUGGUGGUGGCGGCGCUCGGGGGCGGCCGGGACGGCGGCGGCCGACGGCGAUGAUGUUGGAGAAUGGUCUCGGCCAGAGGGUGGAGUCCGAGGGUGUGGGUUCACCCUGGUAGCAGCACAAGUGGGGGGUGAAGGGUGGUGAAGCAAGGAACAAUGGAGAGGUGGAGGAGCAGCCAGCUCCGGCGGCCGGCGGCGUGCUCUGGUAGCCGGAGCGCGCGCGGGGAGAGCAGGGGAACGUGAGGGAGGCGAUUAAGGAAGAGGAGGGGACCCAGGAUUAGGGUUUCAUGGUGACCUAACUCUAUGAUAUAUGUACAAUUACAGAAAAACCCACCUCAGCCCUAUUUUUAUAAUUUAGUCCCUGCCAUUGCGCGUAACUUGCGCAUACGCACCACCACGCUCGAUCUCAAGCGAUUCGGUACAUAAAAUACAAUGACUUUUGCGAAGUUUCCGAUUUGCCACCUUCGACCCCUCAGUGAACAUUUCGCGUUUCCCGAAAAUUCGUCCGUUGGAUUUUCGAUCCGAUAGUGCCAUCGCGUUCAGCACGACGGGGGCAUCGAAACUACGAUUUCGUUUCAUCCGAUUUGCUUGCCGAUUUGCGACAAAAUCUGACCUCUCUCCAAAUAACCUAUAUAUCAUACAUAGGCCUUGGUGGAAACCCGAAAUCCUUUAAUUCAAACUCGUAUUUGAAUUCCCUGCCACCAGUAGGUACUUGAAACAUCUCUCACCCAUCUCCAGAUCACUUGUACAAAUCACGAGGAGUUUUAAAAUGCACGAAUAGCAAAGAGCGGAAACCCUCUUUUUGUUAAAACUCCUUUUUCGACACUUUAGACAUAAAGAAAUUUUCGAGGUCUUUGGAAUACACCACCCACCUUAGAUGGUUACAAGGAUGCUACGGUGAAUUUCUUGAAAUUUUUGAAGCCCUAAUCCGCGUACUGCGGCUAUCUGUAUAGAAAAUGACGUUUUUGUCAAUAACUUUGCGUACACUCGUCGGAUUGUCGAACCGAGCGUUCCAACGCAUUUAAAAUACCCUCAAUUUGGUUUCUACAUGAUCAAAAUAGAUCAAAACCUAACUUGGGCAAAAUCCCUCUUUGGGAUGCCCUAACAUGUCAUUUUUUUUACAUUUCUCCUAGAUUGAUCUCAUUGCUAAGUAAAAGAAAGCUUAGUAUCAUCUAGGAAGCAUUCUAAUAAGAUUUUCAAGCUUCUAGAUCCAUCCCUAGGGCAUCUACUUUGAGCCCUAGUGAUCCAUCAUGAGAGCACCUCAAGAAAACCAUGGAUUUCAUGGAUUCAAGGCUCUUAGAGGGUUUCUAGGUUAAUUAGAGGAUCAAAUCUCUAAAUCCCAAGGUUUAAAACCAAACCCUAGAGUUCUAUGAGCAAAAGAACUUACCUUUGCCACGAGCUCACCCAAGUCCACCUUGUUGGAGAGCCACAAGAUCCUCUCAAGCCUCCAAAACCACCUCUUCAAGCUUCUUCUCAACCUUCUCCACCAAACCCUGGAGUUCUAGAGAGAGAAAAGAGAGAAAAUGAGAGAGAGGUGUGUGUGUGGGUCUGCUAUGAAGGGGAGAAGGGAUGGGUAUAACACAUGUUGCAACAAUAGCAACUAGACCCUCCACCUUUCUAACCUGCUGCAGUUCACUCCCUGCUGACAGAGGCUUCGCGUACCGGUACACGGUUUGGUAUCACCGGUACACGACCUGCGCAGAGGCAAACCCAAGAGCAUACUCGGCUCGGGUUGCUUGCUGUACCGGUACAGCCAUCAUGGCGUACUGGUACACAAUUCUCCAGAGUGCUGUUUUGCAUCGUUUCGUCUCUACUUCGCGCCGUUCGAUGCCAAACUCAUUCUAAUACCUCUUUAACUUAUUUUUACCAUUCCAAACUUGUUGGAAUGCAAAAUAGAACUUGCCCAUCCAUUUCUCUUGACACCUUAACCCAAUUUGGGUUAAGUUCGAUUCCUCAUUUUCAGGUUUUGAUAUGUUACAUCUCACUUGCACCUCAGCCUAAUGUCCACUCUACUAGGACUCAGCUACCGCUCAUAUGCCUGAUUUGCACAAUUCUCAUGAGUAUAUUACCCAAUCUACUGGCUGGCCCAUAGGCGCGCCCUCAACUCACAUCUCAAAUCCGUCUUUAAUGGGGGACUCGAACCACCCGAGGGAUUGUCUGCGGGACCCUACUAGGCUAUCCCUUGGGACCACACAUAGGCUAUCCCAAUUGAUUCACGUGCCAAACUCCGGAGCGCACUACUUGUAUGGAGCGACCGCCACAAGCGCUGAACAGACAUGUGAGUAAAAUCCAAAUCCAUUCCUCACCAAAUGGGGAAAUCCGGUCACUAGGACUACCAUACCACAAGUGUUCUCUAACACUAAAUUCUAAUGCCACUCGUCAAGUUGUUUACUUGGUAUACAUAUGUCACUCAUCAAGUUAUUUACUUGGUAUACAUGUCACUUGCCAUAAUGCAGUUAUCCCGACUAUGCUAGUCAUAUAUCACUAUACGCAUCCAUACAAGAUCAAGUUAUGGUUUAACUUAUCUCUAUAGGGUUCUAUGUCACGAAGCUCAUUCUCACGCACCCUAAACUCACGUGCCAAGCCUACUAUGCUGCACUAUAAGGGAGCAUGCAAGAAUAGUAAAAGUAACCACUAGACACCCUAUCAUGUAUAUAUAUCAACUAACAUCUCAUGAUAUGCCAACAUCAUCUAGUAUAUGCCACAUAUCAUCAUGCAUUUACAUUUAUGCAUCAUCUAGCAUUUACAUUAUAUGCAUUAUUUAACACUUACAUUACAUGCAUCCAUUUAGCAUUUACAUUACAUGGAUCAUUUAGCAUUUGCAUUAUAUGCAUCAAUGAGAACUACACUUCGCUUCGACAUGGAAGCGAGCUAAUAACUUCGGUGAGCACAACCCACCUUGAUUCGCCCUCCGAUUGCUUGUAGUCACUUGCAAUCGGCCUCCCGCGGCACCCGUAUCCGGCAAGGCCCGAUCUUGCCGUUGCGCACCAACCGUGCGUCGAAUCGUUGCCCCGAAAAUUAUAGGUCUACAGCUUGUUGCCGCGAUGCCAUAAAUCUAUUUUCAUGAUUUUUGGACGUUGCUUCGGCCCUCUAGGCGGAAACGAAGCUAAAAAUGCCGUUUCUUCAAUAUCUUCGCAUAGACUCGACGAAUCGCCGAACCGAUUUCGCAAGCGUGUCAGAAUACCUAGCAAUUAGGUUUGUAUAGGUUUAAUUUAACCCCUAUAUUUUACAAAAUCCGAUUUGGAGCCCUAACAUGCAAUUAACCUCUAAAUAAUUCAAAUUAAAUAGAGCAACAUACUAACAAUGCUCAUUAAAGGCUAGUAGAACACUUAAAGUUAAGGAUUAGGUCAAAUCCCAAAAGCUUACCAAAAUGUGAAUGCCGAGACGGAAGCACGCCGCUCCAACGAGCGCACGAAAGCUCGAUCCGUCGCUCCCAACACGUUCACAAGCUCGCUCUCCACCAACCCUCAAGUUUCUAGAGAGAGAAACAAAGGAAGUAGAGAGAUAUCUACCACCAUGAACGCAUGGUGUGAGGUGGUGGUCGGCUGAGGGGAAGAAGAAGCAAUGGCUUCUUUUAUAAGUAACACCCCAAAACAUUAUUCACUUCAGCAGUUUAAAACUGACGUUUUUUGCCGGAGCCCUUCUGAAUGUCCGUUUGCGCUCAAAUUUGACAGACAGGCUCGGUUUUACCUAAUAAGUAUAAAGAAAUUUUAAUCUUUAAGUUUCGACCAUGUUUGGUCACCGAAAGCUCUACUGAACUGUAAUCUUUAUCAGAUAGCUGUCGGAUUUUAUUUUUCACUUUCUAGGUGUCAGAAUGGCAUGAAGCUUUAAAUCUAGCCCCAUAAAAAUAAUUUUGACAUAUCCUCCAGUUUUUAUAAUUUUCUGACACUGUGCAUUUUCUGCUAAUUUAUCUGCCCCAUUUCUCACAGAAAAUUCUAAAUCUUCUGUUUUCACUUCGAUUUCAGCACAGGUCAUUUCCAACUUAUAUUUCACUUCUCUAAAUCCAAUAAAAAUAGUAUCUCAUACUAUCUUUAUUUAUUUUCACUUUUAUAUUUAAUAUCCGGUAUAUUACAUUCCACCGCAACCUCACCGGAACCAUUCAAAUGGCUUUCCAAUCAAAUGUACCCCGUAGCUUUAUAAUUUUAGAAGUCCAGUACCUUACAAAAAUGCAUGAUUUUUUAUUUUAUAAUGAAGAAACUAACAUAGGGGGAGUUCACCCAUUUUGGUGAGGUCAAACCCAUAAAGAACUCCUCGGAUCCCCUUCGUUUGCACCAACGAAGAUGUCCACUGGUCUUCUAGCUCCUUAAAGAAAAUUCUAGGAGGGUUAGACGAAAUGAACGAACACUCCACGUGUCCAUUUUUAAUCAACCCAAGAAGAAGGCAAAACUCACCUAGAAUGGUAGAAAAACCCUCCUAAAAUUCAAAUGAGAGCUAGAGCCCUUCAAUUCCAACCUAGAUGAAGGUUCUACACCUAUCAAUUAAGCUCCAAAAGCUAUAAAUCAGAAAUCCCCAAAUGAACCCUAGAUUUCUCAUUUCUAGGUUUCAACACAAAAAUUCUCCAAAAACAUGAUCUAAAGGGAAGAUCAAAGCUACUAACCUCUCUUGAUGCUCCAAACCUAGUUGGCAAGGUGCUAGGGUUGAAGAUCUUUCCUCCAACAAGCUCCUAUCCAAGCUCCAAAACUUCUCCCAUGGUGGAAAGGUUACCAAAAUGCAAAAAAGAAGCAAGUGGAGAGAUCAAACCUCAAAUCCAAAGCAAAAGAGAGGGAAAAAAUUCAAGGAAAAUGGAAGAGGAACCCUACUUCUUCUCCUCUUUGGUUGCAGCAUAAGAAGCCCCAGCUAAAGGGUGUGGGGUAUAUAAAGUGUUGCAACAAUUACAAAGAAAAUCCUCAAAAAACUACAGACUGCAGUCUGCACUGCGUAUCGGUAUGAUGGAAAGAGUACCGAUACCAAGCAGCAGCCUGCGCAACCCAAGCCUCAGGUAAGAGAGAAAAUGCACUGGGUACCGGUACCCCUGCGAUGCCGUACUGGUACUAAGUCCAGUACCGGUACUCGGCCAAUACAGUACCGGUACUCUGCUCUGCAGAGUCCAACCCGAGUGCAGCUCAAAAUCUGAAUUUUGGAGAUUUUGGUGCUAUGUUUUAAACCUCACUCCUCAGGGUUCGAGUCAUAGGUCGGAACAGAGUCAACGACCCUCCAGAAAACCUAAAAAAACUCAGAACACAGAUCAAACACUCGAAACUCGCAAUUUGCUAAAGUUCAGUGUGUUACAAUAAUAAUAGUGUUUAAUAGUGUUUCCUAAUAAAAUUCUAGUUAAUUGUAUAUAUAAUUAUAUUUAAUUGGUAUAAUUUGUUAAUUGGUAUUGUGAUGUUUGGACAUAGAAUCGAGUCCUUGUGAAUGGGCAAAGCCAGGUGCUUAUAGGACCUCUUCGACCCAGUACUGUACCUAGGUAUGGAUCUAUAUCACUAAGGUCAGUAUAUGAAUCUGUUGCGUCUUUUCUCUCUGGUCUUGGAUCACCUACUAACUACUGCCCUGCGACAAGGACUGGUAAUUUGACUUAAUUUGAUUUAAUAGUGUUUCCUAAUAAAAUUGCUAUUCUAUAUUUGAGUAUAAUUAUAAUAGUUGUGUUUAACAGUGUUUCAUAAUAAAAUUCUAGUUAAUUGUAUAUAUAAUUAUAUUUAACUAGAUUUUCACCCGUGCGAUGCACGGCUAAUAUAAUAAUAUAGAAUAAUAAAAAUUAUUAUGUGAUGAUAACAAAAAGAUUUUCUAAUUAAUUUUAUAUUUUUUAACAAAUAAAAAAAUAUACUAUCAAUCUUAAUUAUAGUACAUAUUAAAGUACACAAGCUAGAGAAAAAAAAAUUUGGACCAAAGUAAAUAUUCAACUAAAAUGCAAAAUUCAAUCCUGCUCUAUUAUCUAUGAAUUGGUGUUACAUAUUGAUGUGCGAAAUAAAAUGAUAACUAAAAUUGAUAUGAAAAAUUACAAAUGACAUUAAUAUUUAAGCAUAUAAUGAGAUCAACUAAACUUUCAUAUUUGACACAAAUUAGAGUAAGCACACAUAUAUUAUGUUCCUACUGUCACUUUUAAGAUUAAAAAAUAUAUAGAUGUUGGUUUUCAAGAAAAUAUAAAGAAAAAAAAACUUUGUUGCCUGAAGAUGAAAAGUUACAGGAGUGACAGUAGGGAAAAAAAUUACAAAAUAAAAAUUACAGAAGUGACAGUAGGGAAAUAAUAUGUUCUAUUUUAAAGCAUCAAUAUUUAAGGGCGAAGAAAAUUACAGUAGUGAUGUGAGUUUUAAAUUUUUUUCUCUUUCCAAAAAUGCCUCUAUCCUUUUUUACUAAUAUUUUUAUGUCCAGAAAUUUUCAACCAAUCAUUUCAAAUAAUGAACUAAGUAAUAAUUUAUUCCCAAAUAAAGAUAAAUAUUUUCAUUCUCACGCAUAAUAUCCGCACCGCCAAUUCUUUCGCAACAUAAUAUCUGUAAAUUUUUCAAAUAUCUCAACAUAAUUAUAGGUGACUUUGAAAUAAAAUUUCCUUCAUUAUAUGUGAUUUUUAAUAAUAUAGUAAAAGAUAUUAAUUUUUUAUAAAAGCGUGAGUUUUGAAUUUUUUCUCUUUCUAAAAAUGUCUCUAUCCUUUUUUACUAAUAUUUUAUGUCCAGAAAUUUUCAACCAAUCAUUUUAAAUAAUUAACUGAGUAGUAAUUUAUUCCCAAAUAAAGAUAAAUAUUUUUCUUCUCACGCGUAAUAUCUGCACCGGCUAAUUUUUUUGCCACAUAAUAUCCGUGAAUUUUUUAAAUAUCUCAACAUAAUUAUAGAUGACUUUGAAAUAAAAUCUCCUUCAUUAUAGGUGAUUUUUAAUAAUAUAGCAAAAUAUAUUAUUUUUUUGCCAUUAGAUCUUAUCUAAUGAUUGAAAAUAAAAAUAUAUGUUAAUUUUUGUGACAAUAUUACCCUCGCAUUUAUAUCCUAUUUUCUAUCUACGCGUUUCUCAAAUAUUUUUCUUCUCACGCAUAUUAUCCGCACCAGUCAAUUCUUUCGCAACGUAAUAUCUGUGAAUUUCUCAAAUAUCUCAUUAAUCCACCUAUCAUUUGAAUUUAAUAAUAUAGUAAAUAGAAUAGAUACGAUGACACGUGAAAUACAUAUAGAAAGCCACGUCAGGAAAUUGUCUCUAUCUUUUUUUACUAAUAUUUUUAUGUCCAGUAAUUUUCAACUAAUAAUUUCAAAUAAUUAACUAAGUAGUAAUUUAUUCCCGAAUAAAAAUAAAUAUUUUCCUUCUCAUGCGUAAUAUCUGUACCCGCCAAUUCUUUCGCAACGUAAUAUCCGUGAAUUUCUUAAAUGUCUUAACAUAAUUAUAGGUGACUUUGAAAUAAAAUUUUGAUUUUUAAUAAUAUUUUUCCUAGAGUAGUAAUAUUCGCACCUACCAAUUCUUUCGCAACAUAAUAUUCGUGAAUUUCUCAAAUAUCUCGACUUUGAAAUAAAAUCCUAGGUGAUUUUUAAUAAAAUAGUAAAAGAUAUUAUUUCCUUUAAAAAUUUAAUUUUAUUUUUCCUAAAGUAGAAAAUCUGUAUUUGAGUUUGACACGUAGAUUUUCUAUAUAGUAAAAGAUAUUAUUUUCUUAAAAAAUUUAAUUUUAUUUUGGAUAAUUAUAAGUGAUUUUGAAAUAAAAUUUCCUUCAUUAUAGGUGAUUUUUAAUAAUAUAGUAAAAGAUAUUAUUUUCUUAAAAAAUCUAAUUUUAUUUUCCCUAUGUAUAAAAUUUCAUUCAUUAUAGGUGAUUUUUAAUAAUAUAGUAAAAGAUAUUAUUUUCUUAAAAAAUCUAAUUUUAUUUUUCAUAAAGUAUUAUUUCCUUAAAAAAAAAAAUCUAAUUUUAUUUUCCCUAAAGUAUUAUUUCCUUAAAAAAUCUAAUUUUAUUUUUCCUAAAGUAAAAUAUCUAUAUUUGAACUUGACACGUAGAUUAUUUUCUCUAAAACAGUAAUAUCCACACCCGCCAAUUUUUUCGCGUGAAUUUAUCAAAUAUCUCAACAUAAUUAUAGAUGGCUUUGAAAUAAAAUCUCCUUCAUUCAUUACAGGUGAUUUUUAAUAAUAUUGUAAAAGAUACUAUUUACUUAAAAAAUUUAAUUUUAUUUUUCCUAAAGUAGUCAUAUUCCCUAAAGUAGUAAUAUCCGCACAACAUAAUUAUAGGUGACUUUGAAAUAUUCUCUAAAGUAGAAAAUCUAUAUUUGAGCUUGACAGGUAGAUUUUCUAUAUAAUAAAAGAUAUUAUUUUCUUAAAAAAUCUAAUUUUUUUUUCUAAAAUAAAAAAUCUAUAUUUGAGCUUGACACGUGGCAAACAUAUAGAGCGCCACGUGUCAGCUUCUCACAUAUCUUUUAAAUUAUUUCCAUUGUAAUAUAUAGAUAGUAAAUUAAUUUUAAAUUUUAAAUUGAAAUAUAGAUUUGCAGUAGAUAUUCUGGCAAAAAUUUGGAUAAGCAUGAAUUUUUUUUUUUUCUUUUUUAGAGAUAAAAAAAUUAAAUAAAAUUUUAAUUAAAAUGUAGAUUCACAGUAAAUAUCUUUCGGGUGGUAAAAAAAUUUGGAUAAGUGUAUCUUUUUUUAUAUUUUAGAGAUAAACAGAAAUUUAAAGUUUGUUUCAUUACGUUAUUUAUUUUACGUAAGGAAAAAGGAAUCAAUAUUUUUUCCCACCAAAAAAUGGGUCUGUCGACAGGCCCAAAUUUGAAAUAUGUGCUUAUAUAUAUAUAUAUAUAUAUAUAUAUAUUCGAGCUUUUUGAGCCUAAUUGAAGAGAAUCCAGUACUGCCGCCGCUUUCCCGGGAGGAAUAGCGCAGGUGGAAUGGCCCGCCGCCGCUUUCCUACCUUCCUUGCAGAGGCUCGAUCUCGCCAACCUAAGCUUGUUUCUGCCCGCCGGGGACGCCAUCUCGAGCAGCUGCCCGGCGCUCAAGUACUACCGGCUAUCGAUCUUCUCCGCCGCGACUCCCAAGCUCGACGUGAGCUGCCUGCUCCUCGAGGUUUUCGAGCUGACGACGCGCGUCAGGCCGACGGGCGGCGUGAUCAGUAUCUGCGGUGGCAGCGUCAGAGAGGUGCGGGUGCGCCAGGAGUUCGCGCGCUCCGCCCCGUCUUACCUGAAGCUGUCGGCGCCGGGUCUCCGGUCUCUGGAGUGGGUCGGCCUGCUGUCGCGCUCUACCGCCGUCGACACCGCCGAUGCUCUCGUCUCUACCCUCGUGAUUCGGACAGACCGCUCGCUCGUCGAGCAUGAUCUGAAGAAGAUGCUGCUGAAGGCCGGCAGAGGCCGCAAGCUUUCCAUGCUUAAAGUCAAUCGGCUGAUCUUGCCUAAAUGCUGUAUAAUUGCGGUAUAUAUGCCACCUGUAAUGUUUGUUAAACGAGUCGAACAUGAGAUAGCUUGCUCGUUAAAACACGAGAACUAUAUCUUUUAUAUUUUUAUAUUUAACAAAUACUAUCUAUAAACCUUCUUCUUUUUAUUCUGAAAUGAUACGCUGAAUUAAAUAAUAUUGUAGGAUUUGGGCAAGUUAGUUUUCGAUCGGCGCAAUGAGGUGAAUAAUCCACCAGAUCAGAAAUAUGAGAUCUCAAGCAUUUAGAAUUGACUGCCUACUUUGGAGGAUUUAGCUCGUUGGGUGUUGCCUUCUUGCUCAAGAUGUUCUCUAAGAUCGAGACACUGCAUGUGUCUGUCAGCGGAGGAUGUAUCAAAGAUUCAGUAAGUAAAUCUGUUGUUACAUUUUAUUAUUAAUAUGAUUUUAAUAACCUUUUGAUAACUUAUACUCUUGCAUUCAUGGAGGAAUGCAAGUUACUUCAUAACUCUACUUUGAUUGAAACCUAACCUAUGCUUUCGUAAACUCCUAUAGCACUAACUACGUAACCUAUGGGUUUAAUACUAUCGUAACCUAUACUUUUGAAGCCUAUAUAUAGAGGGCUUCUCUAUUCACUUCAACAUAACAUAAAAAAGAAAACUACAAUAUCUAUAUUCUACUUGAGAGAGAGAAGGACAAAGAAAGGUGUUUCUUUUGGUGGAGCUUUGGGCUCAUCUACUUGUGCAGAGUUGGUGAAGCCACACGACGAGGGUCGAGCCGUUGUAUCCCGGAGGGGACAAGUCAGUGCUCUGCUGCAUCGGUUCAAAGGCUUUGCCAACCGCAGAGGGCUUGAAUCUCCUUAAAGAAAGCGAGAUAUCCGUGCCUCGGCUUGAUCGACUCGUUGAUAUUUUUUAAAUUAUUUUGUAGCUAACCUCUAUUUUUUGAAUAUUUACACCAACAAUUUUAAGGAGAUUCAAAAAUGGAGGNGAAAUAGAUAUUCAUCAUAAUUUGACUUUUAAGAUUUACUUAAAUGUUGCUUGUCUCUGUUGCACGAUUUCUGGGCCUCGUCAUUUCUUAAAAUUAAAACACAGGAAAGUCCAACUAAGUUUAAAAACAAAGGAAAAAAAGCUUGGCAUUUUCAGUUCUCCUUGGACCACAAAGUUACAACAACAACAACAACAACAACAAAAAGGCCCUUUUCGAGCUAUAAAAGGCUUUUGUUUAACCUAAUUUUGUUACUUAUUAAUGCAAAACGGCAUUAUUGUUACAUUUUUCUCCAAUCAUAAUUUAAGUUGUAAAAGUGUUAGGUCUCUUCCUUGAAAAACUCUCCUACUUAGAUAUCCUCAUUAAUUACCAAUUUGUCAGCAUCUAAUCAGAAUUGUUUUCAUAGCUGUGAACCUCUCAGCAUAUUUAUUGGUUUUAUCAUCUCUCCUUUGCAAACAUUCUACUUCCUACCUAUUUAACUAGCAUGGCCUUCAAAAAGCAUCAGCUAGAACAUUUGGCAAAUAAAAAAAGUUUAGAAAUCUACUUUAACUAGAAAGUGCAAUAGAUCGAUUAUUCUUAUAAAAUACAGAUUCAUUUUGUAAUAAUAUCGUUAUCAGGUCAUUUAACAAAAUCGGUUGAUGUUGUUUUAGUAGCUAACUCAAACAGUAAUUCUGUAAAAAUUCUAACUGAAUUAAAUACAUUUUUACGUCAUAUGAUGCAAUGUCCUACAUCAAUAAUAAAGAUACCGAGGGUUAAGAAAAAGUUUAGGAUGUAAUACUUAUAUUACUGAUCUACUUCCUCCAUCCAAUCAAAAAGUCCUUCCGGAAUUCACCUAUCCCAUCAUUAUUUUUAGAAAAAUAUUUUUGUCAUACUUUAUUUUUUAAAAGAAAAAAUAUGAUUGGUUGUUAAUAGAUGAUGUGGCGUAAUUUUUAUAUAAUAGACUUUCUCGAGGGUUAAAGUGUGCGUAUACCAGAUGAUUGAGAGUUUUCUAGGGCAUGUCUACAGGGCUACAACCAUCCAUCAAUAUUUCUUAGCCAUUACCUGAAAGUAUUUUGUCCCCUAUCAUAUUCAAGACAAGAUGAUUGGAAUGCCUCUCAUCCUGCAUGUAUAUAGCAUGCCAACAAACUUUAUACUUAUGCUCCAUCAAUUAGUGUGGCCAAGUUAGGUUUUAUGGACCCAUUCGAUGAUAUGACAAUAUCUCAGAUUUUCUUUUUUUUCUUUUUUUUUUUGAGAAAAUGAGGGAUGAUUUUGUUUUAUUUUUGUUUAUUUAUGUGAGUUAGCACGUGGGCUGCUUGCUUCAUAUUGCAUAUGUAUAUAGUCCAUCCACAUGAUGGGAAUAUAAAAUUUCUAGAGAGUAGUACUAGCUUACCAUUCGUUAGGAGAUAUUUUAAUUUUUUAUAUUUGAUGAAAAUUAUUAAUAAUUUUAAAUAAAAUAUAUUAAUUUUAAAAUUUUUUUCAAUCGAAGUAGCUUGAAAAGUUAAUAACAAAUUUGUCAUUCAAAAUAUAAAAUGUACAAUAAUUUUAAAAUAUUAUAAAUUUUGAAUCAAACCGCCUUUGAUCGUAUUCUUACCUAUUGGUCUAUGUACAUACUAUAUUACUAUGAAACCUUGUAUUUUUUUUCUCCCAACAUUUUUGAAAUAUUUUUUGAAAAAUGGGUUAAAGAUGGAUUAUAGUGACUUACUGAUCAAUAAGAUGUUUGUAAUAUAUCUAAAUAAUUUUGAUUUUUGUUAUCUAUUAUACAUGCAAACACAUCAAUAAUCUAUUAAAAUAGUACUUUAGAACACAAAAACUUUGUACCCUACAUAUAUAUUAUUAUUAUUCUUAAAAAAUGUCGACAUGUCGGCAAAUAAAUUAAAUAGUCUUAAAAUUUGUAUAUCAUAAGUGUUAAUUAAUCAACAUAUAGAAACUAACAUGGUAGGGAACAACAGCAGUACUCUGCUCGGAAGGAGAAAAGGUACUCCAUAUUUUAAUAUCCAAAUUAAUAAGUAAACAUCAUGAUUAUAUACAAACAUUUAUGCCCGUGCAUUAAGCAAUUCCGUGGUGUGGUAGGACGAUUCCCGUACGGCCGUGAGUGCACCGUACCACGUUCACAGCGAUCCGUACACUGCGUCGCUUCGGCAGAGCGUCUGAUGCGCUUAAUUGACCUCUGAUUCAGUGUCAGAAUCUCACACACACGCACGCGCGCACACAAAAACACACACGCGCACGCACACACAAACACACACAAACACGCACACCGAAUCUGCGUUUUCGAAGUGCGAUUCUUUUCCCAGACGAUCGCAAACUAAUAAUAAGCUCGCAUCAUUUCCCAGUAUCACACGGAUCUCUAUUUGCUUCAAGUCCUAAUAGAAACGACGAGAUCACAAUCGGUGUUUUCUACGCAUAGAGACGUUUGCAGGUGUACGCUAGGUGAGGGAAAGCAUAGCCCAGCAAUGAAUGGGAGACCAUAUGAAUGAGUGAAAACAACCGCGCGCGUGUGUUACGAAAUAAGCGUUUUUGAUCGCAGAGCCUAUUUUGCUGAGUCUUUUGCAGGUGUCUUUGGCUCAUUUUAGAGUUGGCUAACGAUUUCAGAGUUAGAAAGUUCAAUCAAGCGAACAGAAUAAGAAUUAGGUUCAAAAAUAGAGAAUCUCGAUUGUGACUUACUUUAUUGCGAUUAUUAUCAUGUAAUCGAACGCUGUCGUAUUUGCCAACACUAAUAUUUUUUUAAAAAAUUUACUUUUAGGACCAAUUCGACAACUCCCAACAGCAGCUUCAUUUGUAAAAGCGCGCGAGAGAAUCAAACCUCUGGCCGUCAAAUAACAAAUCGAAUAACAACCACUAAGUUAUCCCAAGCGGCAUCAUCUUACGUACUUAAAGAGGGUUAUUAUACAAAACUUCCGGUUAUAGAUAUACACAAACAGCAACAUCACAGAUUCACAUUAAUAUUACAGCAGCAAACACGUCUCACGGAUACGUGGGGUCGCACAACAGCAGAAACAAAAGCACCAUUAACUCCCAAAAGCUAACGCUAGAGCUAUUAACACAGCACUAUAAGCUUUUCCCUUUCCCCCUCUCUAUUUCUCUCCUCGAUCGAUCUCUCUUUUCUUUUUUGUUUCUUAAUAAAAAAAAAAAAACAAACAUAUUAUUACAAAACGGAAAGGUCGAAAAAACGAAAAAGAAGGAACAACGUGAGGACGACGACGAUGAUUAAGAUAAAACUAAGGGUGGUGUUGCUCUCACCACGGGUGCCACGUCAGACGAGGGUGGCGCACUGCGACCUUGUUGGUCCCACAUGGCGGGCAACAGAUACCUCCUCCGCCGAAUCCGUUGGGUGUAGCUCGCCCCGUGGUGGGGUCCACCAGCAGCUGCCCCGGGUAGCCCGGGUCAGGCGCCCUUCCCGUACACCCCCGCGCACGCCGUCGCGCCUCCACGGCGCCGCCCGGCCCUGGAGAAGCCGUCCCGAAGGGGUUCGUGACGGCGCCGGCGAGCAGCCGUCGCGAGGUUGAUGACCAGCCGUCGACCCCGACGUCGCCGUUGGGCGGACCAACGGCGGGGCCUGCGGGCCGUAGAUGGGGCGGUGGAAGGGCCAGGCGCACUGGCCCGGCACUGGGCCGAGGAGUCCCCGCCCAGAGGUAGUGCGAACCGGCCGGCCGCGGCGGCCGCGCGGGCGGCGUGGAGGCCGCAGCGGCCGAGCAGAAGCCGUCGACGAGGACGUCGGGCGGCUGUGAGGAUCGCGGCGGAUCGCGCCGCGGUGCGGGCGCGAGCGCGCGGCGAGGCGGCGAGGUCGGCUUCGGAGAGGGUUCUGCCGAGGGAGAGGGAUUCGUCGAGGUGUUGGGCGCGAGAGGCGCCGCCGCGGCGGGCGGCCGCCGUAUCAGAGGGCGAGGGUGCGCCACCACGAGGCGACGGAGGGGGAGGGGAACGGGGAGGGGAGGGGGAGGAGAGGGAGCGGACGAAGUCGGCGACGAUGGAGCGGUGGGAGGCGGGGAAGCGGCCGUACCAGAGGAGGUGGAGGGUGUAGUUGCCGGUGAGGAGGGACCCGUUGUGGUAGUCUAGGGUUAGGGUUUGGGGAGGGACGAGGAAGAGCUCGCGGGGAGUGGCGGCGGAGGCGGCGUAGAAGAGGAAGAGGAAGAGGAAGAGGAAGAAGAAGAAGAGGGGACGAUCACGAGCCAUUGCCAUUGGGGAGGUUUAAUUUAGGGGAUUAUGGGAGUAGUAGGGAGAGGGGUUUAUUUAUAUACAGAGUGGGGAAGAGAAAUGGAGUGAGACACUGAUGAGUGUGAGAAAAUAAGUAGAGAUUAGUAUAUAUUUUCAAAAGAGAGAGGGCUUAAGUUUGGGAGAAAAAGAAGGGCUUAAAAGUAAAAUUCACUUUAGCCCUUUAAAUUUUUUUAAGAUAUUUUACUACUUUUCGAAUCCAACGGGUGUUAAGUUAUGCAUUCUCUCUCUCUCUCUCUCUCCCUCUUUAAGUUGUACAAAUAGUAGUUUUCUUUUACAAAUGCAUACAAAAAUUUUUUGUGAGGAUCGCCUCAUUUACUGGUCUUAGCUCUAAAUAUGCCUAUCAAUUCGAAUCACUGAGUCCAACAACAGAAAAGUUUUAACUGGAACUAUGUUUUAAUUAAGAUACAAGCAUCAAGUGUAGCGAAUGACUCGUUUGUAUUUUUUUCUUUUUUUGAGAGAGAUAGGUAGCAUGCUAUCUAUUUGUUUAUUUCAUUUAGAAAUAAAUUUAGCUGAAAAUGUGAAUCAACUAAAAUUUAAAUUUGAAUCUCGGAUAUCAAUCACCAAGUCCUUUGCCACUUCCUCUAGGGACGAUUGAAUUAUUCUGAAUAACACCUUAGAUAUAUAUAAUACGAAAUUCAAUCAUCAAUAAAAAUAAUAUUUGUUACAUCUUAUGCGGUUAGAUCGUAUUCGAAUGUCGACAUAAGGUAUUCAGUAAUCACUAUAAGUUUAAUUUUUAUUCCUUAAAAAAAUUUAAUUAAUAUUCGUAUAUAUUUGAUCAGAUAGUAUAUUUUAUCUAUAAAAUAAUUUAUUUUAUUUUUUAUAAAUCGAAUAUACUAUUUCAAUCGAAAUAUUGAACCACACUUUCAACUCCAAUCUUAAUAAAAUACUUUUGUAUUUAGUUAAAUAUUAGUAAGUAAUUUAUUUCCACAUUUAAACAGAGAAUUAGAGUUUGCAUCAAAAUUGAGAAGAUGAGAGAAUCCACCACACCUGAUGGAGAGGGGGAAAAGUGGAAAGGGGUGUAGGUAGGCUCAGCCUAAGCCUGCGCAUGGGCUUGGAAAUGGAAAGUGGUGACGUGAGAAGCAAGGGAUAAAUAAAAAUGGAGAGCAGUGUGAUAAGGACCUAUGAACCAUGAACAUCUAUUUCUUUUUGUUUUUUUUUUAUGAUUACACCUUGCCAAUAGGCCCUAGCUUUUUAAGUUACAAUUUCUUAUUAAAAAGGAGACUUAAGAUAUAGUAUGGAAAAAUCUGGAUACGUUGCUGCAGCAGCUCCUGAGACUACAGCAGUUUGAGCAAAUAAUUUAGGAAAAUAUGUAGUAUUUAUAGUUAUAUAUCAAUAAAUUUAUAUAAGUAUAUGACUAUGAUGUUUUUCGCAAGCACCACUCAUGUGAUGCCUUCAAUUAUUUUUUUAAUUUUUAAUAAAUUUAUUUUUUUUGAAAAAUGACUAAAUUUUAAGAAGACCACUAUCAUUCUAACUCUUUGGUUCGCUUUUUUUUUUUUUCCUGGAAUCGAAAUCGGAAUUGAAAUCGGAAUAGACGAAUCCGUUUGUGGGUGUUUGGUAUGCGGGAGUUCCAUUCCGAUUUCAAUUCCCGAGUGGAAUGAAAAUCCUCCAAUCACCUCUUUUCCAAUCCGGCCUAGGAGGCCGGAUUGGAGUUGAAUCCGGAUAGAAUAGAUAUUUAUUAGAUUAAAUUUAUUUUUGCAACGUUUUUAAUUAAAAUAUGAGUUUAAAUUUAGAAAUUAAAUUUUAAUUUAAACUUGAAUUAAAAAUUAAAAUUUAAUCAAGUAUUUCGAAUCUAACAUAUGAAUUUAAAUUUAAAUUAAAUUUUAAUUUAUAUAAAGUUUAUUCAAAGUUUAUUUAAAACUUAAAUUAAAUUUAUGGAUUCAAAUUAAAAUUUAAAUUGUAAUUUUAAAUUUGAAUUUGAAUAAAAUCGAAAUUUACUUUUAUAUUUCGAAUUAUCCACUCAACUUCAAAGUUUAUUUUUUUUUAAAAAAAUAUAGAUUUUAAAAUUUGACAUUAUUUCAAAAUUUUGAUGUAAAUUUUUAAUUUUUAAUUUUUAAUUUGAAUUAAAUUAAUAUAUUAUAAAGAUAAAGUUAAUAUAUUAAUCUGAUUACAUUUUUUAUAUUUACCCGAACCAAACACCGACAAUGAGAAUGAUUUAUUCCGAUUCCGAUUUAGGUGAUGAAACAGACAGAAGUAGGUAAUUAGUCAUUCCGAUUCCGAUUCCAGCUUAUUUCGAUUCCGAUUCUGAUUUCGAUUCCGACUUCGAACCAAACACGCCCUAUAAUUCUUCAUAUAAGGGUCAAAAGUCGAAAUCAGUAACUCCUUUAUACUUCCCUAAAUAUAGUAACUCUAGAGUGAGGCUACUAUACUUCUGGAAGCACGGAGCCUUCCGUGCUUCCAGGUUGUUUUCGAUAUUGUGACUUUCGAAUCAUCGAUCGGCUCCAUUAAACUUGAUCUAGAGUAUUUGAAGUACUUAGAAAAUAAAUUUUAUGAUUUUUCGAUAUCAUUUGCCCAGUAAUCGAAAGGACUCAAAAUCAAUAAUUUUAAUGACCGUGGUGAGCCGUUUGCAAGUUUAACGGUGUAGAAAUAUCCAAAUCACGUGAAAUUUUGAUAGAAAAUUCUUUAAACUAUAUAAAACAAGAUCAAUAUUUUUGAUUUAAAAUUUUAAUGUCAUGUUAUCACGUUUUGUAAGAUUUUUAUUUUCAGCCGUUGAUUUUGAAACCCUUAGUUCACUAGGCAAAUGAUAUCGAAAAAUUGUAAAAUUUAUUUUCUAGGUACUUCAAAUACUCUAGAUCAAGUUUAAUAGAGCCGAUCGACGAUUUGAAAGUCGCAACAUAAAAAACUAUCUGAAAGCACGGAAGGCUCCGUGCUUCCAGAAGCAUAGUAAGUUCGUGAAAAUAUUAUGUCUAGUUUGAGAUACAACAAAUUUUAUGUCUAAUUUGAUGGCCCUCAGUCCAGCUUCGUGAAAAUAUUAGGUUCUUUUCGCCCCCCCAGUUGAAUCCAGAGUAGAAGAAAUAUUUUAAGAUUAGAAGUGUGGAGACAUACAUAAGUAAGCCGCUAGCUCACAUCACGAAAGGUUUUGUAAUAAUAUUAAAAACUUUUGUAAGAAAGUAACAGUUAAAUACUUUUUUUUUAUUUAACCGUCAUUAUUUCAUUACCUUCAAUCUCGAGGAUCAAACUGAUUCUUCCAAAAUAAUGUUUAAAUUUUUUUUAAAAAUUAAUUAAACGAUAGAUUAAAAGGCACAAUUAAACUGCAUCUAGCUAGUUAAUUAAGUGCAUCUUUACGCAGUUCUCACUCUCUACAAUCUACACCACAUCCAAUGAUGAUCGAUCUUUAUACUACAGCUGUUGCAUUGCCAUUUUAAGAACCGUGACGUCACGUACGAGCGAGCCAGGUCGUGAUGUUGCAAGGUUUCCAGUUGGGGGAAGAGAUGUGCUGGGUCUCGCGAGGCGCCGACGUUAGAUGCAUCAACAGUACCUAUCAAUCGAGAACUUAACUUGUUUUGAAUACACUUCUUGUUCCUGACACAACUGACAAUGAAUUUAAUAGUUGGUAUUGAAGAUUUCAAGUUUGAAUUUUAAUUGAUUUACAUUUCUAACUAAAUUUAUUUCUAAAAAGAUUAAAUAAAACGGAUAGUAUGUUAUUUAUCUCUUAAAAAAAUUUAUUUUGAAUACUUGGUGGUGGUUUGAGAGGAGUUAUGUAAUGCUUAAAUAGUUCCAUAUCGGAUGAAAAAUCGAUUUCGAUCAGAAUAUAUAUGACAUACACGCUUGUAAUUAUAACUGGGUUUAAAUGUUUUAGACUGAUUAUUUGGAUCCAAUGAGUUAUUGUUGCUAGCUGGUUGGAUCGUUAUAAGUUUAAUUUCGGCUUCUUUGAAAAGCACUUUUGCACGAACUGGACCAAAUUGAUUCUCUGCAGAAAAAAGUGUUAGCUUUAGACUAGUUAAUAAUUUAAUAGGCAUGAGAGCAUGGCUCCAUUAGGAGGCUUUUAAUUUGAGCAGAAUUAAAGACCACGACCUAACAAUUUGCGUUGGAGUUUCUCGUACUGAAGAUAAUAAUUAAUUUUUCAACUAAAAAAAUUAUAGCAAACAUUCUAAACUCUAUACUUUUAAUGAGGAUUCAACCUGCUUCCUAAACUUUUUAUAAUGUUUCAUUUUUAAUUUUUAUCUUAAAAUAAAAAUUACUGCUUGUACCUAGUUCAUCUAUAUUUUCGUAAACCAGAAUAGCAUUUGAUUCCUUUUCAAUAAUUUUCAUACAUGGAAAAAAUUGGUACUCAAAGGACAGUAUUGUUGAAAUACGAGAGGAAUAUAAUGAGAUGUACUGGUCACCAGUUAUAAAUAAUUAAUAACUCAUCCUCAUAAAAAUAUAGACGAAUAAAGUAAAGUUGUUUAAAAGUUUAGGGGCUGUGAUUGUCGAAAUUAAAAGUUUGCAGAGUAAAAUAAACUUAGGAUGAAAGUUUACAGAGAAUAGUGGUGCCAUGCAUGUAUCCAUUAUUUAUGCACCUCACUAUAAUUGAUCGAAUUCAAUGAGAGAGAGAGAGAGAGAGAGAGAGAGAGACCAACAAAACUUGACUUGUUAAAGAAAGGCGACUUAAUUAUUCCUUUUGUCCUACUUAAGCGACAAGUACUGGUUACGUAACUCGCAAGAUUGUCAUUACUUUUCUUUCUCUCUCAUUCUAAAAGCCAAAAAAAAAAAAAAAAAAAAAAUAGAGGUUUUAAAAAGACAACGAGCCGAAAUAAAACUAAAAAGAAGAAUGCCGAGUUGCAGAGAGAAUCGAUUGUUUGCCUACUACUUUAUUCCUAAGAUAUUUUAGAUUUUAACCUUUAUUAUUUUGAGACAACUCAACUUUUCUACCCAAGUAUUUAAAUUCAAAUCUUCACCACUAGACUCCUGCACACCCGUACAUAAUUUCUUUGGAAAGUUAGGUAAGUGUAUUUAUUUUAAGAGCAAUUGCUUAUAUAUCCUUGAAAAGCUUUAAACUUUUUAAUUUAUUUCUCUUAAAAGACUAAUAUUGAAAUUGUUCUUUUUACGUUCCAAUCUAUUUCUAAUAUAUCUAUAGAGUUAAAAUUUAUUAAUAAACUUUAUUAUCUCUAUAAAAUUACUAUUUUGCCAUUUCAAAUAUACCCUUUUGUCAUUACUGACUUUUCUUUUUUUUUUGAGAAAUAGGUAACACGCUAUCCGCUUCAUUUAAUAAGAAGAUGAAUUUAGCUACAUAGAGUAGGCAGUCAGGGCCUUUCAGAAUCACCGACUUUUCUUAUUUGCCCUUAAGUUAGGGGCAAAAAAAAUAUUUUAUUUUUUGGUCUUUUCAAAUAUACCCUUUUAUCAUCACCAAUAUUUCUUAUUUGUUCUUAAGUUAAGGACAAAAGUGGUAUUUUAAUUUUUUUUAACUGUGGUAGCUAUUUAACUUACGUUUAACCUAAGUUAACUUAACGGGUGGUAACUGUAGGGAUAUUUUGAAAUAACGAGAAAUAUAUGAAAAGUAUAUUGAAAAGAAAAAAAAAAAAGUAAGAAUAAAUAAAAUAUUUUUGAAGUUUCAAAAGGUAUAGAAGCAAUUAUUCUUUUAUUUCAAGUAGAAGUAUGUUAGGUUUAUUAAAUCUGACCAAAUACAAAUCAAAUAAAAUUGACAUAUUUAUUUAUAUAGAAAUUAAAUUUAUUACUAGCAUCAUACAAUUUCCUCAACUCUGUAUUUUAAAAGAGGGGUAGAAGUAUUAGAAAAUCAGAUAUCUGUUAUAAUACCAAUUAUUAUGGUUGAAAUUUUACAGAAAAAUUACCGCUGGUUAAGGUGGCAGAUCUCCAACAGAUCGAUGAUGCUAAAUAUAUACUUAUUUUGCUAUAUAUAUAUAUAGAAUUAACAUGCAAAGAUUUUUAAAGAAUAACUUGUAUAAGAUAUUUUGGAAGACGCAAAUCAAUCAUGGCACUCAGUGAUAUGGUGGCCAAGCAUAAUAAUAUGUAGAAUAUAUAGAAUUAACAUGCAAAGAUUUUUAAAAAAUAACUUGUAUAAGAUAUUUUGGAAGACGCAAAUCAAUCACGACACUCAGUGAUAUGGUGGCCAAGCAUAAUAAUAUGUAGUUUACAGACUAAUCCUAAUGCACGUAAAGAUUAAUUCUCAUAAAAGAAAAUUAAGGUACCGUUUGGUUCGGGUAUAAGCAAGAACUAGCUAUUACAGGAAUAGAUACAAGUAUGGAGAUAAGAAAAAUAAUGUUUGGAUGAAAAUUGAAUUGUUUCUGGGGAUAAAAAUAAUUUUAGAUAGUUUUAUAUAAAAAAUGAAGAUGUUGGUAGGAAUAAUCGAGAAUUACUAUUCUCGAAUAAAAAAUUAACGUUUGGAUAUAAAAGAAAGGAUAAGGAUCUAUUUCUAUUCCAAUUUCCUUACCAAACGUUGCAUAAAAGAAUAAAAUUUAAUAGUGGCCGAACAUUAAUAGAGCGUGGACAAAUGCUGUGUCGUCCAAAUCACCAUUAAUAAGUGUGCUCGAGCAUGACGAACGUGGACAAAUACAGUAGCGACGGCGAAAGCCGAAAAGUGCAGGGCCCGGCAGCGACCGAGGCGGCCGAUCAAAAAGCUGUGGGGUUCGGGCCGGAGUGAAUGACGCCGACAAAAACCCCACUCGCAUUCCCACGUGCGUGGGAAUGAGUAAGGGAUGGAAAGAGGCAAAGAGCACAAGGACCUCGUGCGUGUGUACAUGCAUUUCUUUUCUUGCACGAGUGGCCCCAUUGCCUCGAAACCCAGGCCAAUCAGAAGCAGCCAAGUGGACGUAGCUGGACGGAGUAAUAAUAUUUAUUUAUACAUUACAUAAAAUGAUUCCGCCGCUCAUUCAGUUUAGUAUUUGAAGAAGCUUGCUUGAAUUGCCGGAUGCAGAUUAUUUACUGCGCGCAUUCCACUAUUUGGAUGGCAAAAUCGUUUUACACGCAACAUUUGCUGUGUACAAAACUGUUGAGCACUUGUAUUCGUUAAUUAAGAAGGAUGGCAAUUGAGACAUUCAACAAUUUGCGUUAAUGUAUUUAGAGAGGGAUGGGGAGACGAUCGAGAAGUGGGGGGGGAUAAUUGGCCGUGGCAUAGUGCUUUUUGGUUUUGGAUAUAUAUAUAGUUGAGCUAGAAUACUAUCGGUAGUAAACGAGCCGUUUUACUACCGAUUUAUUUUCGAUGAUAGAGCUUCCAAAUUGACGAUCGGCUCCGUUAAAUAUGAUCUAAACCAUUUAAACUGCCUAGAAAUUAAAUUUCACGCAUUUUCGAUAUUGUUCUUUUAUCCAUCAAGUGAACAGAAAAAUGAAUGGCUGAAAAUGAAUAAUUUUUAAAAAAUGAUGAUAGAAGUCUUGUAAUCAAGAUCAAGAGUAUAGAUCUUGUUUUAAAUAGUUUAAAGAAUUUUCUAACAAAAAUUCAAUUGAAUUGGAGAUAUAAUUUACGCGCGUAAACGGAAAACUUCUUAUACGACACCAUUAAAAUUACAAAUUUUGAAACACUUUGAUCAUUAGGAAAUGAUGUCGAAAAGAUUUGAAAUUUGAUUUCUAAACACUUUAAGUGGCAUAGAUCAUGUUCAACGGAGCCGAUCGUCAAUUUGAAAGUUCUAUCAUCGAAAACAAAUCGUAGUAAAACGGCUCGUUUACUACCGAUAGUAUUCUAGCUCAACUAUAUAUAUAAUAAUUAUAUAUAUAUAUAUAUAUAUAUAUAUAUAUAUAUAUAUAUAUAUAUAUAUAUAUAAAGAGAGAGAGAGAGAGAGAGAGAGAGAGAGCUAGGCUGGUAUACUAUCGGCAAGGUUUAAAGUGCCGUGGCACGGGGCGUGCCGCUACGUCCUUAGGCACGGUAACGGCACGGGCACGCUUGCGUGCCGACAGAUAUCGCACGACCUCCUACGGCACGCUUUGGCACGAAUUUAUUAAAUUUUUUGGUUCCAGUAAGCUUUUAUAAUGUUAUUUUGAAAGAUUUAGGCAAGUUAUUAUUAAUUUUUGCUAUGUAUAGCUUAUUAUACUCAUCAAUUAACAUGCAUGUAAGCAUUUUGUAUAUAAAGUACAACUAUACCUGAUGUAGAAUAUAAAUUAAAAUUCUUUUGUUUUUAUUUUUUUUUAUUUGAAAAGUACAACUAUACUUGCUGUAACAAUUGAAAAUUCUUUUGUUUUUAAUUUUUUUAUAAUUUAAAAAAUUAUAACAGAUAAAAUGAUAGAAAAUUUUAUUUUUUCUAAAAACGUUUCAAAAUCUAUAUAUUGAUUCGAUUAGGAAGUAUAUAAUAACUAGAACAACGAGAAUAGUACCGCAAUUACAUCCAUAUUUUUUUUAUUCUUUUAAAAAAUAUCUAAUCAAAAUUUGUUUAGGAGAUCAAUUUUUGUUCCCCUGAUUCAUCGAAAACUUCGCGGUGCGACAAAUUUUGACAAAAUAAUUUGCGAAGAAAAAAUGGAUGUCUAUAUCCCAGAGAACAAAAAAAUAAAAGAAAAGUGAACAAAAGGCAAUAUAGAUGGCCGGGCGAAGGCUCUGUAUCCCAGAGAACCAAAAAAAAGAGACAAAACCGAAAAAAAAAGCCAAAAAAAAAAAAAAAAAAAAAAAAAAAAAAGGCCGGCACGCGGCACAGUGCCGCGGCACAUGGCCACGUGCCGCUUUGUCUCGAGCGGCACGCGGCUUGUGCCGCAGCACCCAGGGGGGGUCCGAGACCCCCCUGUACCGUGCCCCCUUCUUGGGGGCACGGUACGGCACGCCCCGUGCCGUAGGCACGGGGCGGCACCUUCAACAAUGACUAUCGGUAACACGGAGGCCUCCGUGCUACCAAGUUGUUUUCAAUGGUGCGGCUUUCAAAUUAAUGAUCGGUUCCGUUAGACUUGAUCUACACUAUUGAAAAUAUUUGGAAACUAAAUUUCAUAAUUUUUCAAAGUCAUUUACCUAUCAAACGAGUAGUGUAAAAAUAAACGGCUGAAAAUAAAAAUAUCAUAAAAAAUAAUGAUAAAAGACUCGAAUUUAAGAUCAGAGGUACUGAUCUUACUCUAAAUAGUGAAAAGAAUUUUCUAUAAAAAUUCCAUCAGAUUUGGAUUGUUUUACACCGUUAAAUUCACAAACGCAUCAAAUCUACCAUUAAAAUUGUUAAUUUUGAGACCUUUUGAUCACUAGCCAAAUGAUGUCGAAAAAUUAUGAAAUUUAGUUUCCAAAUACUUUCAAUAGUGUAUAUCAAGUCUAACGGAGCCGAUCAUCGAUUUGAAAGUCGUAUCAUUGAAAAUAACUUGGUAGCACGGAGGCCUCCGUGCUACCGAUAGUAUACCAGCCUAGCUCUUUUCGACAUCAUUGACCUAAUGAUCAAAGGGUUUCAAAAUUUGUAAUUCUAAUGGCCGAUAUGAGGCAUUUUCUCGUUUAACGGUGUAAAGCUAUCCAAAUCAAUUGAAUUUUUGUUAGAAAAUUAAACUAUUUAGAACAAGAUCUAUACUCUCGAUCUUGAUUAUAAAAUUUCUAUCAUCACUUUUUAGAAGAUAUUUAUUUUCAGCCGAUUAUUUUUACGCCAACUUGAUGAACAAGAGAACAAUAUCGAAAAAGCAUAAAAUUUGAUUUCUAGAUAUUUCAAGUGGUAUAGAUCAUGUUCAACGGUGCCGAUCGUCGAUUUAAAGGCUCCAUCAUCGAAAACAAAUGAGUGGCAACGGAGCCCGUUUGCUACCUAUAGCAUUCUAGUUCAACUAUAUAUAUAUAUAUUAUUCAGCUACUGUGAUUUUAAAAGUACCAAGUUAUUAGUGCUUGUAGAUUUUUAGCCAUUCGAUUAAGGGAUAUGCGGUUAGGAUGAUGUGGGCCCUAGGGUUUAGUGAGUGGUUGGUUGAAUAGUAUAAUCUAAUGGUUGAAAAUGAUCCUAUGAGUAGAUCUAACGGUAAAAAACUUACAAGCAGUAAGUGCUUGGUGCUUUUACAAGCACCAUAGUUGGACUAUAUAUAUAUAUAUAUAUAUAUAACUAGGCUGUAAUACUGUUAAUAGCACUAAUGACUUGGUGCUAUUAAGUUUUUCACCAUUGGAUUAAAAGAUGUGCGGUUAGGAUGAUGUAGGCCCCCUAGGGCUGAGUGGGUGGUUGAAUAGUAUAAUCUAACGGAUAAAAAUAAUCAAAGGGGUUAAUCUAACGGCAGAAAACUUGAUAGCACCAAGUGCUUGGUGCUAUCGAUAGCAUAGCAACCGGACUCUCUCUCUCUCUCUCUCUCUCUCUCUCUCUCUCUCUCUCUCUCUCUCUAUAUAUAUAUAUAUAUAUAGUACUAAUAUAUAUAUAUAUAUAGAAUUAUGCUACUAUACUAUCAAUAGUACCAAGCCCUUGGUACUAUUGAGUUUUCGACCGUUGGAUGAAAAGAUGUGCGGUUAGGAUUAUAGUGGUCCCCGGUUAAAUUGAUAGUGGUCCCCUAGGGUUGAGUGGGUGGUUGGUUUAAUAGUAUAAUCUAACGGGUGAAAAUGAUCAAAUGGUAGAUCUAAUGGUAGAAAAUUCAAUAGUACCAAGGGCUUGGUACUAUCGACAGUAUAGUAGCCGGACUCUAUAUAUAUAUAGUUUUGUUAGAAUACUAUCGGUAGUAAACGGCUCAGUUUACUACCAAUUUAUUUUCGAUGAUAGAGCUUCCAAAUUGAUGAUUGGCACCGUUAAACAUGAUCUAAACUAUUUAAACUAUCUGAAAAUCAAAUUUCACACAUUUUCGAUAUUGUUCUUUUGUCCAUCAAGUGAACAGAAAAAUGAAUGACUGGAAAUGAAUAUCCUUCAAAAAGUGAUGAUUUGAAUUUUAGAAGUACCAAUCCCUUUGUGCUUCUAAGUUUCUAACCCUUAGAUCUACUCCGCAAUUACUAAUACCCCUUGGAUCAAAUACUAUUUCACUUACCAUCACCUACCACCAUCAUCUCAACCCUACUUCUCUCCAUCCAAUGGCUAAAAACUCAAAAGCACCGAAAAGAGAGUACUGUUUAUUGUGUGGUAUGAUGAUUGGUGUUUGUCUGGAAUGUGACAAAGUCUAUAGUAUCAUAUUUACACCACAUUAUCGGUAACAAAAUAAUUAUUUAAAUAAUUAUUUUUUUUGAGAGAAAGAUAUAAUUAAAAUAUUUUGUUUAUUAAUCAUGAUGAAACUACUGAACCCAAGGGAGACAAUUUAUUAGUUGGGAAUGUCACGUCGGCAAUAUAAUUGAUACAUUCUAGAUUUUUUUCCUGGAAUGUUUACUCCGCUCGGCCAAAAGACGUAGGUACCGGUGCUCACCAUUUAAAAAAGGAAAAGAUUUAGAGGGUGUUUGGUUUUCUAAAAAAAAAUUAUUUUAAUAAAUAAUUUUUAAUCUGUAAAAUUAUUUUUUAUUCUUUUGAUAUUUUUAAAAAUAAUUUUUCUGAAAUGUUUUGUUUCGGUCUUUAUGAAAAACUAUAAUAUUUCUUUUUUUCAACUUUAUUUAUCCCAAAAGAAUAAAAACUAUGAAAAAAAAAUUUCAUAAAAAUUUUUCAUAGUUUUUUUAAAUUAAUAGUCUUUGUGUUUUUCGAGAAACCAAACACUCCCUUAGUUAAAAAUUGUGGAAUGCGUUACCACAUGUUUUAUGAGUCGGUCUAUACAUAAUAAAUUAGCAUGUCCAACGCAAUUGAUUAAAUUGCUAGGAUUGGAUUUCAGGGACCUUGGAUAAGCAAACAAUUUUUUUCAUUUUUUCUUUCUCGCAAAUAAAUGGAAGGAAUUAAACCCAGUGUCGCCUUAAAAGCAAAAGUUUCUUUUGCACACUCUAAAACGUGACUUCCCUGCUCUACUCUUUCUAGUACAUUUCUUUUUCGUCGUGAAUAGUUUUCUUGCUCUGAUCAGUAUAUUUAAGCAGUUUCGAAAAAAAUUAUACACUUGUCAUUUUGGCAUGUAGUUCAUUGACUUUUCUUAGAAAAUUAUGUUGUAUUAAUCUCGUUAAUUACAGUAGCCAUCUCUAACAUGGUAAUAACUACUGAAGCCUCCUACUUUCGUACUACGUAGUCUGUUAUGUCGCAUUCAGCACUACGUAGUCUGUAACGUCGCAUUCAGCAUAUAUACAUAUAUAUAAUCCUCUCAAUUUUGAGGGGAAAGAACAAAUUUGACAUCAAUCGAUAUCGAGUGUUGAAACUUAUCUUUUUCUACGUGAUUCGCCCAACUACAUUAUUUGAAGUCAUUAUCAGUGCAAGUUUACAUCAUUUAGCAUCUUCUAUAGAAACAUCAUUAUAUGUGAUGUAAUCAUCCAACUCAAUCCUUUUAAACAAAUGCUACUUGUUUGUUCAAACGUUGGUUGUAAAUAUUUUCACACCCUUUCAUCCAAAAAUUUAGACAACUUUUUUAUGUUUUUAAUAUUAAAAUUAAGGACUAAUCAUUGUACUAGCUAGUGUAUAAAAGCUGGUCCUAAGAAAGAAAGAUGAUAGAAUUUACAUUCAUUUUUUUACAUUCAACUACGAGUAUGAUUUGAGCAUUCGUUGACAAAAGGAUAAUUCUAAGGUGAUCAUCUCAUUGCUAUUGAGAAUAAAUCAAAUCAAAUGGUUUGUUUAGAUUCUUUACAAAAAUUUAUUUUCAAGUUAUAAUGAAUAAAAAAUUUUGUUACAAUAAUACCAACUCGCUGCAUUGCGCGAGUUAUUACAAUAGUCUAUAAUGAUUCUGCUAGUUCAGUAAUACUUUAAUAACUAUACAAUUUGAAUUGAAUGAUAAAAAUUAAAUAUUUUCAAUAAAACAUAUUAAGAAAUCUAUAAACUAUUAUUAAUCUCCAUACUAAAAUCCACAUGGCAAGCCGUCCUUAAUUGUGGGCUGUGGGACUCAUUUUUUAAUACUUAUUUCUUUUUAUUUUCACUUAUAGCAACCCUUCGUUUUUCUAUAGAGUUCGUUUGGUUUGGGUAUAAGUAAGAACUAGUUAUGCUGGGGAUAGGUACAAAUAUAGAUUUUCGUAGGAAUAAAGGUAUUUUUUUAUUUGGAUGAAAAUGUGAGUAUAAGUUGGAACUAGAAAAAUUAUGUUUGGAUGAAAAUGUGAGUAUAAGGUGGAAUAGUUGGUAGUUAUAAAUAGAAAAUAAUGAUAUAUUACUCCUAUAAUUGAAUUUAAAUUUUUAAACUGAAAAUUUUAAAUUGAAAAUUUUAACUUUUAAAUUAUAAAUUUUGAAAUUAGAUUUAACAUUUUAAUUUUCAAAAUUUUAAUUUUAAAUAUCUAAUUUUAAAUUUAAGACCAAAUUUAAAUUUGAAAGAUAAAAAUAUCAAAUUUAAAAUUUGAAAACUAAAAAUAUCAUAUUUAAAAUAUAAAAAUAUCAAAUUUAAAAUUUAAACUUUAAAAUUUAUAAUUUAAAAUUAUAAAUUUAAAUUUUAAAAUUAUAAAUUUAAAAUAAAUCUCUCUCUCUCUCUCUCUCUUUCUCUCUUUCUCUCUCUCUCUUGUAUCGGGGUGGAACAGUUGUUCCACCCCUGGGUAGGAACAACUUGUUCCCACCUAUACCGGUACCUAUACCCGCGCACAACUGGGUAUAGGGUGGGAACAAGUGUUCCCCACGACCAAAAAUCCUGUUUGGGUACAAGAGUAGGAAUAAACCCCCUUAUCCCCCCUCUUGUACCCAAUCCAAACACUACCAUAAAGUACUAAUUAAUGUGUCCAUUUCUCUACCUUCAAAUCUGAAAUUCAACCCUUUGCCUUCCCGUCUGUUGAUGUUCCACUUAAUGAAUCCAAUUCUUUCCCUGUUGCUAUAUAAAAUUGUCGCCAAUUAUGCCAUCCCAUCCACACCUACCUAUUCUCUCUCUUUAUUUUUUUCUUUUCUUUUUUUUUUUCUUCUUUGUUAAUGAUGGUCUCUCUCCCUCACCUUUUUUCUAGACACUGCGGCAUCCGCCACCGCCGAAGGGGUCGUUGUCGCUGUCGACGUUGCCAUCAUCGGAGGCAACAAUAGGGGCAUCGUCUUUCGAGGCAAUGGUGGGGGUAAAGGAGGAGGCGUGGAAGUUUUCAAAUAUGUGCUUCAACCACGUGCUACAAAGUCCUCUCCCACUAUUAUGAAGGAAUGUUUUUUAAUGUGUUUUAUUAUUUGGAUUUUAGUUAGGUUCAGAAAUAGUGGCAUUCUUUUUUUUAUUUCAAUUUUAGUACAGUUGAAUAGGAUUUUAUUCAUAAAAAAUUAGUAGAUAUGGGACCUCCUAAUAUUUUUUGUUAGUAUUGAUAUUAUAUAUAGCACCCCCUUAAAUUGGGUGUAAGAGGUUUGUUUGAUGCACUUUUGUUUUUGACUUUUUUGAUAAAAUAAAAAUUUUUAGACAUUUUUUUUAAACUUUUUAUGUGUUUUUUAUUUUUCUGAAUUGUUGCUAUGUAAAGAUUAUUAUGUAGGGGACGUCGUACCAUACUGGCACCAGUGCUGUUGCCAUCGCUAGCCGCCCCCUGUGCGAUCCAUCGGACUAAUAACGUAUACAAUGCUCGAAUUAUUGAUGUAGAUGCUCAUCCUUCAACUACGAGUGUAAUUUGAGCAUUCGUUGACAAAAGGAUAAUUCUAAGAUGACCAUCUCAUGGCUAUUGAGAAUAAAUCAAAUCAAACAGUUUGUUUAGAUUCUUUACAAAAAUUUACUUUCAAGUUAUGAUGAAUAAAAAAUUUGUUACAAUAAUAUUAACUAGCUGCAUUGCGCGAGUUAUUACACUAAUCUAUAAUGAUUCUACUAGUUCAGUAAUACUUUAAUAACUAUAUAUACAAUUUGAAUUAAAUGAGAAAAUUAAAUAUUUUUAAUAAAACAUAUUAAGAAAUCAAGCAUCAACCAAAUGGGCCCUUUGUGUAUGAUGAAAUCGAUUUGGAUUAUACGUACACAAAUUUAAUGCAAAAGUCAAAGGGACGAAUGAGAGGCAGCAUACGUUAAUUCCGCCGACGAUUUACGUAUGGAUAGGGAGACAUUUAUUAGCUUAACUGCAUGCGAUUAAUGGACGAAGUUUCUCUUGAUGCUGUAGAAGGGUACGCAAUAUAUAUAUAUAUAUAUAUAUAUAUAUAUAUAUAUAUAUAUAUAUAUAUAUAGGAUUAAAAUAAAUUAAUUAUGGAUUAAUUGGAGUUCGUAUUUAUCGUCUGUAUAACCGUAGAACGGGGAUCGGAAUGAGCAACCAUAUAUAGUUUUUUAGCUCGCUAGCUAGUGUCACCUAUUUUCCAGCUAAUUAUAUAUUAUUAUAGACAAUUAAACAAGUAAAACAUUUUAGUUUUGUUGUUAUUUUCUUUGUUUAACUCCUUCCUCUCGUUCGUAUAUGUAUAAGUGAAUUUGGCAUGAGAGUUUUUGCAGGGAUUUUUAGCAUAUAGUAUCAUGUAAUUAGUUUAUGUUAAGAGAUGAUGCUUCAUAUGUGGUCAAUUGAAACAACGAAAGUGUGAAAUUCAGGGUAACCAGAGAAUGCAACCAAAAAGUACAAUGUAUACGAUUAACAUUUAGACACCGACCAUAACGUACAGAUGUACCCGGGUUCGGUGGUGCGUAGGCUCAAACAGCUGAUUGAUUCUUGGAAGGACUCCUUAUGACUGCGUCUUUUUUUUUUUCCUCUCUCUCUCUCUGAGGUCCUAGUUGUCUCACCCCUGUAGUCUAAUUCAUAUCUUCAAUGAAUGAAACAGGUAACGCGCUAUCUAUUCUCAAAAAAAUAUUUAGACACCGACCGUCCAUAGAGCAAGUGGCAAAGGGCUUGGUGGUUGGUACUCGAGACCCAAGUUCGAAUCUUAGUUGAUUCACAUUUCUAGCUAAGUUUAUUUCUAAAUAAAAUAAAUGAAGCGGGUAGCGAGCUAUCUAUCUCUCACAAAAAAAAAAAACAUCUAGACUAAGUUCUGCAACCCUUUAAUGAACUAUUUUUUAGUCUUGCUUUUUUUUUAUUUUAUUUACUUUUUUUAUUUUAUGUUUCUAAGUUUUUUUUUUUUAUCAUUCAUUUUUAUUUCUAUUUUUAUUUUUUGGUAUGGUGGUCUGUAACUUAUUUGAGGCCGAGUUGUUUCAACUUCUGAAUUUGAAUUUAUUUUCUAUGUGAAUGAAGUGGGUACGUAGCGUGCUAUCUCUGAAUGCAUAUAUGUAGACAACUAAUUCUCGCCAAUUAUAGACCAUUUGCAAUCGUAUUUAUCUUUCCAUGUUGUAUUCAAAGAAACCUUGAACGUAAUGAAAGUUUUAUACAAUGUUUUGACUUUCGAGUGCCAACCUGGUGCUAGCUAGUGGUGAAAUUGGUGGAUGGAUAGCGAGCCAUUAGUUUAACCUAAGUCUAGAUGCUACUACGUACACAAGGGACAAAGUGAUUCGAAAACAUUGUGAGAUCCAAUGAACACAUAAAUAAAUGAUAAAAUUGUUCCCCGUGCAACUCCACGUGUGGCUGAUCACAAACCGGUCGAGCCAUCAGCGCCGGUAGGAUCGAGUGAGGUUGAAUCUCUAUCUCUGGCCUUUGUCGUCGUCGUCGUCCACACCGGCACAUGAUCCAACACUAGCUAUUUAACUAGAUAGCUCUAAUUAACACACAAGCACGUUACUGUGCAAGAUAUCUAGGGAUCAUGCAAGGUUUUAAUGACAUUAAGAACUUAAUUAAUGACUUAAAAUCAUACGAGCCAACCAGUGGUGCUUAUUAUAAUCAAUAUUGUAAGUUUUUGCUUAAAUUGCUAGGGAGACAUGUCCAAGAGACAUGCUGGAGACUAGUAGAAUCCACUCAUUUAUAUCUAUAUAUUAUUCUCCUUAAAUUUGUGAUAUACUAAUAUGUUUUUAAAUUAUUGGGUGUGGACUGCAUCUCGAACUGUCUCAAAUCCUCGAUGUGUAUAUAUAUAUAUAUAUAUUUGUUUAAAUCAAAUCGAAUUAUUCUUUUUUAUUGCUUGAAUCGAAUUGGAUCAUAUUUCUAUAUUGGGCCGAACUAUUCUUUUUUCAUUUCUUCGGUUGUUAUAUUUUUUCAACAGUAAGAUAAAUUCCACUUCUUAUUGUCACUUUUAUUAUUAUUAUUAUUAUUAUUAUUAUUAUCAUCAUCAUCGUUUUUAUUUUUUUUUAAUUAUCUAUCUGUUGUUUCGUGAAUUGCUUCACUAGUGUUUACAUUUUUAUUUUUUAUUUUUUUUAAAAAAAACAGCACUAGCACUGCAAGCUCCAUUAUCACAUAACAACAAGAUGAUCAGAGAACACUAGAGAUGUCAACGGGUUGGAUUCGGGGCGGAUUUUUAAAAAUCCGAACCCGAACCCGACUCCAAACCCGAGACCCGAACCCGACGGAUUUUAAAAAUCCAUAUCCGAAUCCGAACCCGAAAAUUUGAACCCGAAACAAUUAUUUCUUUUUUCAAUAUUGUAAAAUAUAUUAUAUUAAAUUUAAAAUUUUAAAAUACAAAUUCAAAUAUAAUAUCAAAUUUUUAUAUAUAUAUUUUAUAUAAUACAAAAUAAAUUUGGAUUCGGGUCGGGUUCGGAUUUGGAUCGGGUACAAUCAAAAUCCAUAUCCGAAUCCAUAUCCGUCGAAUUUUUAUUUUUUAUAUCUAUAUUCAUAUCAAUGAGAUAUAUUCGUUUCGUUCGAAUUCAAAUUUGAAUAAAAUUUUAAAUAUUCAUAUUUAUUGACAUCCUCAGAGAACACCGUAGGAGGCACAGGAAGAGCGUAGAUAAGCUUAUUUUGUACCAUGAGUUUCCUCUAUUAUUGAGGGGACAUUGUUGGAGAAAGUGAUUGUCUUCUAGCUAUAAAAUUGGUACGUACUUUACGUGGCAACAGAAAAAGAAAAGAGGGAAAAAAAAAGAAGUAAUGUUUGCCUGUAGCCACUAGUCCAUUCUCUAAUUAGCAGAAGACAAAAUUACCUCUAUUUUCCUGCAAACUGCAGGUUUCUUAUAUACCAACCAUUUCAAAUAUAUUAUUUUUUAUUUAUAUACUCCUAAUUUAAGCGUUUGCCGGAAAAAACGUAAAAUUUUAAAAGAGUAUAAAGGAGGAAGAAAGUCUCUAGUAUGGAGUACCACACUUUCGCCAUAUUAUUAAUAAUAAAUUAAUUAUAUAUAUAUUUUUUAAAAAAUAUAAUUAAAAUAUUUUUUAUUAAUUAUGAUGAAAUAAAAAAAUUUUAAAAAAUAAAUUUAUUAAUUAAAAAUAUUACGUCAGUAAUAUCAUUUAUGCAUUCUAUUUUUUUCUUUUUUUUUUUUUUCUCCUUCGGAGAGGAGAACUCACGAGUGAAUCGUGACUGGGUGACCGUACGAGAGCAAUUGCGGAGGACCGCGCCACCUCGCACGCAAACCAGCUACAGCUGGCACGUACGCGCUCGAACCCAUCCGCAACGCAACGGCCGUUCCACCCUCCAGCGACCCGCUUCCCCAAACAAAAACUAUGUCCAGCCUGUCUUCCCACCCCUUUUGCCCCUCCUCGAUCAACGUUCCCAUUCUUGUUCGCGAAGAAAUUGGGACAGCAAUCAAUUUCUUUAAACUUGUGAUAUCUCUCUAAUCUUUAUUUUUUUAAUAUAAAUCUGAGGGCACGAUUUAACCCGCACGGGUAAAUUUGAGGUGUCCUGUUCCCAGCAAAAGCUAAAAAUGAGGUCACUGUACUCUGUGGAGAAAGGGUAUUUUAGUAAGAGAGUAAAAAAAAAAAAAAAAUUCAUUACAUCCACGUUACAGCUGUCCAGUGACCGUCCCUAAAGCCACAAGUGUGACAACGUGGGCCCACCACCAUUGUCUCUUUGUUUCCUUUCUCUUUCCAAUCCUUUAUCUUUGAGCCUCUGAGCCCCUUAUUUAAGCACACCCCUUCGUCGAGACCCUUCCACAGUAGACCAAAGCGUCUUCUAGUUCUUCCCCUUUAUUACACUGUUAAUAAUUAGUUAAGCCUGGCUCUUCUAAUGGCUGCUUCUUCUUCUUCUUCUUCUUCUUCAAGAGUGAGUAUUGCUCUGUUCCUCCUCUUAUGUGCUUCUACGCUUCUGUUCCAACGCUCCUGUGGGGCGAGGACGCUCACCGCGCUGGUGGAGCAACAACCCCUCGCCAUAACCUACCACAGGGGCGCGCUUCUCACCGGUAACAUCUCCGUUAACUUCAUCUGGUACGGUAAGUUCACCGCCUCGCAGCGCGCCAUCCUCACCGACUUCGUCUCCUCCCUCUCCUCCUCCUCGUCCUCCAAAACGGAGCCAUCCGUCGCCACGUGGUGGAGGACCACCGAGAAGUACUACGCCCGGUCCAAGGCGCGGAUCCCGACGCUCACCCCCGGGGCGCAGAUCCUCGACGAGUCGUACUCGGUCGGUAAAACCCUAACCGACGCCGACCUCGCCAAGCUGGCGGGCCGCGGGGCCCGCCGGGACGCCAUCAAUGCGGUGCUCACGGCCGACGACGUGGCGGUCGAGGGCUUCUGCAUGAGCCGCUGCGGGGCCCACGGCUCGUCCCGGCCCGCCCCGCGCCGGUCCAACUCGGGCCGGUUCGCGUACGUCUGGGUAGGGAACUCGGCGGCCCAGUGCCCGGGCCAGUGCGCGUGGCCCUUCCACCGGCCCAUCUACGGCCCACAGACCCCGCCGCUGGUGGCGCCUAACGGCGACGUCGGGGUCGACGGCAUGGUGAUCAACCUCGCCAGCAUGAUCGCCGGCGCCGUUACGAAUCCGUUUGGGGACGGGUUCUUCCAGGGGCCCAAGGAGGCGCCGUUAGAGGCGGCGACGGCGUGCACGGGGGUGUACGGGAAGGGGGCGUAUCCUGGGUACGCCGGGGACCUGCUGGUGGACCCCGCCACGGGUGCGAGCUACAACGCGAAUGGGGCCCACGGGAGGAAGUACUUGGUUCCGGCACUCUUUGACCCGUCAACGUCCUCCUGCUCCACCUUGGUGUAGGACUGGAUCGGACUACUUUUUGUACACACGUGAACUAGUUACAAAAGAAAAGAGACUAGAAAAUAAAAAAAAACAAAAUAUGGAGGCGUGCGUAGUGCUAUAUAUAUAUAUAUAUACAAAAUAUAGUUUGUAUGUGUAAUUCUUUCGUUUGUUCGACGAGACUGAAAUAGUAUCUCAAUGUAAAUGUAAGUUUUCCAUAAUAUAUUACCUUGUUAUAUGCUUGCGACAUGCAUUAUCUAUUAACUAUAUAUUAAUCCUCAAUACAAUACAAUAGCUGAUGUGGUAAAAUUUUAAUUUUUAAAAUUUUUUUUUGUUUUUUAAUAGUGAAUUUGUUCUCUCAUCUACUCCCUAUAACUUAACCUCUACAAUUUAAUUUUUUCUUUUAGUUUAGUGUGAUAUUAUUACAAACGUUUUAUUUUAACAGCUUUUAUUGUUAUAAUUUUAUAAGUGGUUUUUCAACUUUCUAUAUCAGGUUAAAUAUAAAUAGCUAAUUCAGUUAAUUAAUAAUCUUUAUUAUCCAUCAAAUAUUUUUUUUUUAUAAACUGAUAUUGCCAUUAUUAUUCAUUUUUCUAUUUUUAUUACUUUCCUAUUUGACCUGCAUGAGUAUCUAACAAUUACUAAAAAUCUUGAUCUAACUUUUCUAUAUUAGUAUUCUAAUUUUAAUAUCCAAUUUAACCCUUUUCAAAUUCCAAGCAUUUUGUAACCUAAAUUAAUUACUGUUACUUAUUUCUUACAACUUAAAAUUUUUCGUUGAGAAUAUUAAAAAGUUUGCUAACAGAGAAUACUAAUAGUCUUUGUUUUUAAAAUUUUUCAUGUGCUAUAGCUAUAAAGUCUUCCCCCAAAUUAGAAAAGUGUUUUACCAUCAUGUAUUUUCAUGCAAAAGUUAUAGAAGAUUCAAUAAAACUGCUCAACACUCCAUAGGAGCAAUAAAUCAUAAUAUAGUAAGUUUCAGCAUAUUGAUAAUAUAUUAUUUAAAUAAAUUUUUUAACAAAAUUAUGGCAAAGCUUAUAUUUUUUUUCUUUUUACAUAUAUAUUUAGAGCUCUCUCAGCUUUUGAAUAAAAAGUUAGCAUUUAAUUAGUUUUUUUUUUAGAAUAUAUGUUGAAAACUGUUUAUGGUAAUAAACAAGCCUAUUGCACCAUAAAUUUAUUCUAAACUAUGCGUCAAAAUAAAAUUUUGAUAAUAUAAUAAAUAAUUUAAAAAUUUUUUAUUAUCUCAUAUUUUAUUUUGCAAUAUUAGUUUUUAAAUACUCUAUCAACUAUAUAAUAUUAUAUGCGUUGUAUGAAAAAUUAGGUGCAAAUAAAUAAUUUUUCAUUCUUUUAGAAGUAGCAGGUUACCAUUAACCAAUGAAGGAUGCCAUAUAACUAUUAAUAUUUUGAAUGUGUUCAGUGCAUCAUAAAUUUACUCUAAGAUAUAAAUCAAAAAUAAAAUUUUGAUGGUAUAAUAAAUUAUUUAAAUAUUUUUUAAUAACUGUAUAUGACUGACUAAAAUUUUAUUUAACCGCCGCGAAGCGUGGGUCAUAUAUUAUAUAUAUAGAUAUAUAAAUGUAUAACUCUGACAUCUUUUGUCGUUUCUCUUUUCGACGCCUCUUUUUAUUUCUUUCUUUAUUUCCUCGCCAUAUUUUUUUGUAUAUUUAUAAUUUCAAACUAUCAUCGAUAAUCAAAAAUAAUAAAAAAAUUAUUUUAAUAAUAUUUACCUGCUGCAUUGUGCGGAUAAUUAUACUAGUUCUAUUGAAAGCCGUUUUAAUUCAGCUAAAGAACAUAGGGAACAACGCCACGUAUUUAAAUUUUACAUUUUUUUCAAUCGAUGUUCGGAGUAAUUAUAACUUCAGCCUAUUGUAGUUGUAGUGUAAAAUUUUCUCAUUCACCAUACUGUUUUAUCUAUUGCUAUCAUUCCAAUCAUCACUUUGACAUGUGGAAUAUUUUAUCUUGUGGGUCAUUUACGUGUUCGAUCUCUUUUUUGAAUCAAAUGGCUAAAAUUUGAAAAAAAAUAUGAUCGGACGAUUCCCUCAUUGAUCAGCGCAUGAAAUGAACGAGAAUAUGAUCGGACGAUUCCCCCUCAUUGAUCAGGCCAUGAAACGAGCCCGAAUCGUUUUUAAUCGUGGCAGUGAAAACGCAAUAUGUGUCCAAACAACAAUCUGCGGACUAACGGUAUCGAAUUGAUUCGAAGGUUUUUGAAGCUGAUUUUGGGUGAAAUUAUGACCAAAAAAAAUUCUAUAAAGGCACACUUUAUGAAACAGUAUAUGAGUGAGAACUACGUUAAAUAUAAAAAUGUUUAAACAUCAUUCUUUAACGGCUUAAGUUUUUAGAGUACAACGGUUGUUUCACAUGGUAUCAGAGCAGAAGGUACUGAGUUCGAAUCACGCCAGACUUCUAGCAUAUUAAUUUCCUCCCAUUUAAUUCAAAUCCACGUCAUGGGCCGAUUAAAAAGUUUUAAGCCCAAACCGUUCUCUAAUAGUUUAACCUUUUAGAGUACAACGGUUGUUUCACAGACAAGUCCCUAAAGUUUUGACCAUUAAGCUGAUUUUUUUUUUUUUUAAAUCAAAUUCAUAUUGUUAAACUACUAUCUUUUAAAAAAAUAUAUAAAAUGUAUAGUUUGGUUUUGAUGCCUUGAAUUAAGAAGAUGAGAUGGAGCGUUAGCAUCAAACCUUCCUCACACAAUUUUUUUGCAAGCUCCUUUUAAAAAUUAGCCUAGUAAAAAGCUUAUUUGGCAUUGCCGGAUAAAUUUCCUUUGACGCUGUGUUUGAAUAUUAAUAUUAGAAAAGGUGUUACAUAAAAUAUUUAACCAACAUAUAUUUCCUCAAAAUAAAAUUAGAAAUUUCAAAUUAUAUAUAAUGUAAUUUAUUUUUUGCUAAAGCAAAUUAAUAUGCUCUUCAAUUCACCAAACAUUAGAAAUUAUUUUUGAACAAUUUUAGGACCGGAUUGGAUGCCGGAAUAAAAUAUCUAAUAAUAAAUUACUUCAUAUAAAAAUUUUAUUAUAUAAUUAGAGAUUAAGUUUAAUUUUUAUUUUUUAAAAAUAUUUUAAAAUUAAGGAUGACAAAAUACAACCUGAUUUGAUCAACUGAUCCAAUAUAAUCAAAUUAUAGAUAAAAAAAGGCUAAAUUACAGAAAACCUCCUUGUAAUAACCCGCUUUUUCACUUUCCCUCCCUGACAUUUAAAAACCUACACUUUGCCUCCUGUAAAAUAAAAAAUAUGCACUUCACCCCCUACCGUUAGGGUUCCGUCAGAGUUCCGUUAAAAAAUAUAUUUUUAUGCCGAAAAUACCCCUCCGCCAUCUCCGUGUUGCUUCGACUCUCUCCGACUCGCCACCUCGCCGCCGCCUCGCCGCCUAGCCGCCUCGCCGUCCUCCACUGCCUCGCUCUCACCCAUAUCCCCUUCGCCGUCCUCCGCCACCUUGCCUUAGCCUUCUUUGCCCUUCUCCUACUGUCGCCGAAAUCGAGGGCGGUGAGGGUGCAGAAGGAGAAGAGGAGCAAGUGGAGAAGGAAGUGGAAAGAAAUCGCGGCCGAUUGAGGUGGGAAUCACGGCCGAACGAAGGGGCGACUGAGGAAGAUGGGAAAGAAGACGACAAUGGCGAGGGGCAAAAUGGUCAUUUUACACACCGUAACCCCCUUGUGAACAUUUUUCAUUUUACAAGGUGGCAAAGUGUAGGUUUUUAAAUGUCACGGGAGGAAAGUAAAAAAGCAGAUUAUUAUAGAAAGAUUUUCUGUAAUUUAGCCAUAAAAAAAUUUUAUUCAAAAAAUUGAAUACGGCCUUUUGAUCACACUCCGUGCCUAUCUAUCUUAGGGGGCUGGGGAGCAUUGUUAGCUUAAAGAGACCAGCAUUUUAUUCUAUAGGCGGAGGUUAGUUUGAGCCGAGUUAUAUUCGAAAUGACAGGAGGCCGAAUCGGAUUGAACCAUAUUCAAAAUGGUGUGGAAUUAGUUGAGCCGAGUUAUUAUCGAGAUUUAUAUAGAUAUUAUAUUUGUAUACUUUAAGUUAAUUGAUUAUCUUAAAUUUUAAGAUAAUGUGUUGGGAAUAUUCGACACUUGACAACUGUUGCCAGCCUUUGGUCCACCUCCUUGACGCCCCCGCCCUCAGAAGACAGCCCUUUGCCAGAAGGAAUCAAAGGCCGUGCUAGAUAUGGCCUAGUCAAUGAGCCGACACAGCGCAGUCGAAUUCCAGCUAUUCAACUCCUAAACCUUCUAUUUUAAAAAAAAUAUGGGCUAGCUAUUCGAGUUAUCUAUAUCAUCGCAUGUGUGCCAUCUGUUUCUCGUCCGUAUUUUUUAGCAAGUGAUGUAUUCGUGGUGUAGGGUGAGAGAAUUUUGUAAUUCAGCGUGUCCCUAGGGACACGGGAAACAUUGUGUAGUGUAGCAACUUAUUUUCUAUUUACUAAUUUAAUUCAAUCGACAGGAUGAAGUAUAGUACGUUAUCCAGUACCGGGUUGUUAAAUUAGCUAGUAAGCUGUCUUGGAACGAGAAGGCGGAGUGGGAGAAAUUUAUGAAUUUCACUGACUCCACUUCGUUCCUCUAUCGCACUGAAGUUGAAAAGCUGUCUCACUGUAUAAUUACGAGUGUGAGUUUUAAUAAAUUUGUGACCUUAAUGAUGGAACAAAUGUCAUUUCCGGCGAUGUUUUUCGGAGUCACGAAUCAACCUUCAGAACCCCCCAAGAUAGCCGGGUCGUAGAACUAUCUGAUUGGUUGUAUGUCGUUAUAACUAUAGUAUAAUUACAGCUAGCUAGAUUCUGUGUUUGGCUUAAUUUAUUUAAAUCCAACUACUACAGUUGGAACUGGAUAAGAAAACUUAACCGCAAUAGUUAAAACUAUGCUUAAAUUGGCAACAGUUAUAACUGCAGUAGUUGGAGAGAAUAAUUUUAAACAAAAAUAUAAACUUAGACAAUCUCACAAUCACAUAUAUAAAAUAAUAAAAUUUUAAAUAUACGGUUCUCAACUGUAUGUAACCAGUGGAAUUAUUUAUAGUUAUGAUACUUUCUAUGAUAUAAGUAAAUAAAAUACAUACAUGAGUUAUAACUGUUGCAAACUAACUAUAUACAUUUAUAGCCGACCGUUCCUAACGCAAGUAGCAAAGAGCUUAAUGGUUGAUAUUUGAAGUCCCAAGUUCGAAUCUUAGUUGAUUCAUAUUUUUAACUAAGUUUAUUUUUAAAUGAAAUAAAUAAAACGAAUAGCAUAAUAUCUAUCUUUCAAAAAAAUACUGUAUAUAUUUAUAGUAAUAUGCAUAUUUAAUUAUACUGUAUUUUUAAUUGCAUCGAGCCAAAUGGGUGUCAAAUUAUCUAAUAGAGGUACCAAGCAAGCAUUGUUCGUAUAGAAGGGAACCACACCGUGCAUUAAAAGUACCAGUAAAAUCUAAGCUAACCAGCUAAAUUCAGACCGAAACCGACCCUGUUCCGUAGUCAUGUAGAGCUUACAGGAAAGUUCAUGCAUCACAUGCCCUCCAAUUAAUUCGUCCCCAUCCAGAAAUCAGCGGCGUAGUCGACGGAUUAGGCCUCCUCCUCGACUCAUAUCCGUUCCUCGUCCUCCGUUGUUGACUCUCACAGUAAUGUAAUGUAUACUUCAAUUAAUAAUGUACAAGCACACGCGCUGCAUACCCAUGGGUAGACACAUACAGCUGCAUCCGGAUUCCCAGUUACUGUACGAAGCUCACGCGAAACACUCCAGAACCAACCCAACACACUUCAUCUCCCUUCCUAUAUAUAUAUAUAUAUGUAGAGGCCCUGGCCUUCUCCUCCUCUUCCUACAAGACACACAACAAUCUCGCCUCUCCUCUCCUCUCCUCUCCUCUCCUCUCCUCUUCUAAAAUGGCUGCUUCUCACUUGUUACUAGUACUAAGCAUGCUUCUGAUGAGCUUAGCCCGUGCGUCCACGGGGUCUCGAAAACUCGCAGCUUUGUACCAGCCACAACCGAACCUCCUCACGUACCACGACGGCGCGGUGCUCGAAGGCGACAUCCCCGUCUCCGUCCUCUGGUACGGUCGCUUCACCCCGGCCCAAAAAUCCAUCGUCUCCGAUUUCCUCCUCUCCCUGAUGGCCCCCGCUCCCCAGACGCAAACCGCUGCCCCUUCCGUGUCCCAGUGGUGGGGCAGCAUCGACCGGCUCUACCUGUCCAAGGCCGCGGCGGGGGAGGGGGAGGGGAAGGCCCGGAUCCUGCUGGGCGAUCAGGUGUCGGACGAGGGGUGCUCUCUGGGGAAGUCGCUGACGACGCCGCAGGUGGCGGAGCUGGCGGGAAAAGCACGGGGGGCGGCGAAGAAGGGCGGCGGGAUCGCGGUGGUGCUCACGGCCGACGACGUGGCGGUCGAGGGCUUCUGCGUCAGCCGCUGCGGGGCCCACGCCUCGGACCGGGACUCCGGCGCCGCCUACGUGUGGGUCGGGAACGCGGCGGCCCAGUGCCCCGGCCAGUGCGCCUGGCCCUUCCACCGCCCCAUCUACGGCCCACAGACCCCGCCGUUGGUGGCCCCCAACGGCGACGUCGGGGUCGACGGCAUGGUGAUCAACCUCGCCAGCAUGAUCGCCGGCGCCGUCACGAACCCGUUCGGGGACGGGUUCUUCCAGGGGCCCAAGGAGGCGCCGUUAGAGGCGGCGACGGCGUGCGCGGGGGUGUACGGGAAGGGGGCGUAUCCGGGGUACGCCGGGGACCUGCUCGUGGACCCCGCCACGGGGGCGAGCUACAACGCCAAUGGGGCCCACGGCAGGAAGUACUUGGUCCCGGCCCUGUUUGACCCGUCGACGUCCUCCUGCUCCACCUUGGUGUGAGACUGGGGGAGGGGGCGCACAAUUUUUGAUUACUUUGGGACGCAUGGUUGUGAUGUGUGAAUAUGGCUUUAUAGUACGUUGUUGUGAUUUUUUUUGAUUCAUUUUGAAGUAUGUAUGUCCUCUCUUGUUAACUUGUUAGUUGUUGCUCUCCAAAAAAGUUAAAAAAAAAAAAACGUCCUCUCUUGCGACCGUAAUCUAAUCCAUCCAUUUUUUUAUAGUAAACAGAGUCAACGCUUACUUGGACGAGCAUAUGAGAAAUCCGUUACUUACGUAGGCCCAAAAUAGACCACUCAAAAACACGGCAGAUUUUGGUGUCUCGGCACCGACUUUGCAUAUAUAGUCUGCAAUAAGUCGCUAUUCCGUCGCCGAAUUCUAUGGUGUUUUCAACUAGCUCCGCACAUAGCUCCGCCGAGUCUGAUAAUCUAUAAAAACUUAAAAAGUAGAGAAUGCAAUAAAGUGUGUAAUAAGGCCGUCGAAGGCGUUCAAUUCGGAUUAGAUCGAUCUCCCCGCUUCAAUGGCGUCCACUUCCUCCCUUCUCCUCCCCUCUCCACCCUCCACCUCUCGUCGCCUCACCUCUCCUCACCUCCUCUCCUCACCACCCUCCUCCUCUCGCCUCCUCCGGCGACCUCCCCUUCGUCUCCGCCCUUCUCCGAUCGCCUCCGCCGCCUCUCCGCCGCCGCGCUCGGCCUCAACCGCCGCCGCCUCUCCGCCGCCGCGCUCGGCCUCAACCGCCGCCGCCUCGUCCCCUCUCCACGCCCUCAUCUUCGACUGCGAUGGCGUGAUCCUCGAGUCGGAGCACCUCCAUCGCCAAGCCUACAACGACGCCUUCGCGCACUUCCGCGUCCGAUGCCCCCCCGCCUCGCCCGAGCCACUCCACUGGGCCUCUGAAUUCUACGACGAGCUCCAGAACCGGAUCGGCGGUGGAAAACCCAAGAUGAGAUGGUUUCCUACUCAAUUCUCUCGCUCUAUCAUUCGUUCAAAACCCUAAUUCUCUGUAUGCGGUUCCGAUUCUUAAUGUCUUGUGUUGGUUGGGAUCGGCAGGUAUUUCGGUGAGUACGGAUGGCCUUCUUCUUCGAUCUUCGAGACGCCUCCAUCGAGCGAUUCGGAUAGGGAGAAGUUGGUUGAUGUCCUCCAAGUAAGCAGAGUUGAAUAGUUUGGAAAUGUGCUACGUACAUCCUCUUAUUGUUGAAUUAUUCGCCUAAAAUGAUCAAAUUAGUUUAGGAGAAAGGAGUUAUCAAGUGUUUUUAUGAUAUAAAUUAGUGUCCUGUUUUUUUCUGUUGAGCAUGCUUAAUUGCAUACAUAAAUUCGUAAUAUCAACUUCUUUUUUACUAUAGAACUUGGUUAGGAUAUUUUGCUGAAUUUUAACCGAUAUAUUGUCCUCGACCAUCGGAAUCUAUCCUCUAUGUUGAACGCUAAUAAUAAUUCAUCCAGGCGGUGUUCUUUCCAAUUUUGUCUCUUUCACAGCAGUGAGAAAUUACUUUUCGUUUGAAAUUGUAUUUACUUAAAACAUGAUUCCCUAAAUCGGCAGCAUAUCUGAGAUUGUUCUUUAACACUUUCCCGAGGUGCCGUUUCUAUUUUCCCGCGGUUCCAAUCAACAAGCUUAUACAUUGAUGCUGAACCUUUUCUUUUUCUUUUUUCUUCUGCAGGAUUGGAAAACCGAAAGGUACAAAGAAAUUAUCAAAUCUGGAACUGUAAGUUAUUUUUUGAAACCUGAUAAUAAAUUUUCCUGAUGAAUAUUGUUGCAAAAGAUGCUUCGCUUUGAAACUUUUAGCUAAUUGAUGAAGACUUUUACGUCAUUAGGUGGAGCCUAGACCCGGUGUUCUGCGAUUAAUGGAUGAAGUCAAGGGUGCGGUAAUAUGACUUAUUGCAUGUACCUUUAUGCGAAUAGAUGUUAGUUUGACUUCAUACAUGAGCUCUUUAAAUGUGGAUUUAGUUUUUUGAUCUUCUAUGUGUGUAUAUUCCUGUUGUUUGGGGACCAUCUCAGUUACAUUGUAGAAAAGGUGCUGAUGACAUCAAAACACUUAGUAGGGUUUAUCUUAUACUGUUGUAGGGUAUCAAACUUGCUGUUUGUUCCGCGGCGACUAAAAGUUCGGUUAUCCUUUGCCUUGAAAAUCUUAUUGGGAUAGUAAGCCAUUUUCUGUUGUUUCUUAGGUAACCUUGUCUUAUUAAUGAUUUGUUGUAACCUUGCGCUGACGCUGCUUUUUUUGGCCUCUUUCUCCUUUUAUGUUACCAAUAGGAACGAUUCAGGAGUCUUGACUGCUUUCUUGCAGGUAUAUACUUCAUUAUAUUUGUUUGUUCAUUCUAUACUCUUAAUAACAAGAUGUGAUCAAUGCCUAACUUUGUUGAAGAAUGAAUUCUCAAUGAACAAAUUAGUAGUUUGAAGUUCAUAUGUUCUUUCAAUUCCAACUUUGACAGAAAGUGACUCGUUCAAUCUCCUUUUGCUUUGUCGAAUUCUUGACAAAUAAUUUGUGCUGCACUUUCAUUGUUGUCAAAUGAUUUCCCUGGUUGCAGGUGAUGAUGUCAAAGAAAAGAAGCCUGAUCCGUCAAUAUAUAUUACAGCUGCUGAGGUAAUAAAAGAAAUAAAAACAUUUUUAAGUUUCCUUUCUUUUUAAAACUUACUAACUUCUCUAGCUAAUUUCUUCACUUCUGUGAUUAGAAACUAGGCGUGCAAUCAGAGAACUGUCUAGUAGUGGAAGAUAGUGUUAUUGGGCUACAAGUAGGUCCUCGCAUUCUGCAAUAUCAGCCUAUUUAUUGCCCCUUUUUCGGUCUUUGAGGAGAUUUUUAUUUUUGAUAGGCGGCAAAAGGAGCAGGAAUGUCUUGUAUAAUAACAUAUACAUCUUCAACCGCUAAUCAGGUGAAUUUAUGGUCUGCUUUUAAAACUCGCAGCACUUCACAAAACCUGAUUCUUCGCCUUGUGACUUUGUACUUUUUUUUUUUUUGUAUAUUAAUAGGAUUUUAAAGAUGCAAUUGCAACCUAUCCUGAUCUGAGUAGAGUGAGGUAUGUAUUGUUUCUGUAAUGUUUAAGCUUGCUUUGUUUGUUGAUGCAUAAUGGAAAGUUGCUGUGUUCGCAGGCUCGAAGACCUCAAGUUACUGCUCCAAAACACUUUGGUUUCUAGCUAAAAAUUUCCAUUCAUUUUGCCUGGGAGCAAUGCAUGGAAAUACGAGGCGUGGACACUGUGCUUCCAUGUAUUUGAUUUCCAAUGUUCAUUUAUUAUUUCUCCAAAUGAUUGGAGAUUGAGAUAUUCUAGUGUAAGAAUGUAUCUAUAUAGCAAGUCAUGUUGCAUCUUGCAGUAAGCAUCCUCUUUAGUACCUAUUCAAAAAUAAAAUAAAAAUAAUAUAAAAUCCUCUUUUGUUUUUAUUUAUUUCCUUGGUGAAAAGAAACCCCAUCUUUCAAUAGGUACUAUAUUGGUAGUUUUAUUCACAGAUAGCUUUCCAGAGUCAUUUUAACCUGUAGCUAAGCUUCAAGUUUAACCGGACUAAUAUACAAGAGUUUCUGGAGAGAACAUCAUAAAAUUAACAUCUUUCACAUGAUUUUAUUUUUGAAAAGCAAAUUCGGAUGACGAAUUCAUUAGCCAAUCUACAAGCGUGUCACUAGAAACAUACUACUUGUAGAAAAUAAAUAUAUUAAACCCUGAAUCUACAAAUUCUAGUACUGUUAAGACGACAGCUGGUAAUUACAUGAUAUCAAUUACAAGUUCAGUGAAAGCUCAGCGUGUGUCAAGGAUAUUAGCCCUUUUAUUAUUCACUCAGAAAUGUUGCCUCAGAGGUCAGAAAUUACGAUUCUCUAUAUUUGCCUUUCAAACAGCACAGGUUCAAAUCUUGGACGGUAGUAUCUCAUUUUUUGAGAGUUUGUGGGUGCAAUAUAUAUCUUUCGUUUUUUUGUUCUUUUUUCUUAAACAAGGUGAAGUGAUCACUGCACUGUAUGUAAUCGAAAAGAACAUAUAAGUUGAACUCAAAGGGUGUUUUUAGUCGCAUAUCCAACCGACGCUGAGUAAUAAUGCCGAAGAUACAGCACCUCUGACUGACAUUAAUGUAUGCUUUCCAUAUGAAACCAUCAUCUAGUCCCAAAUUUGUAACUUCUACAACAAUUAGCCAACGCAACUGCUUCAAUGAGGAAAAUGUCUCAUGCAGUUUGCUUUCCUCAAGCCAAACAAACCUCACGCUGAAGCUUGCUACACUGCUUCAUUUCAAGGGCUUUCACAUCACCUUGGUCGGCUCCAACUACAACCACUAACUCUUGUUGCAUUCUGCAGGAGAUGACGGUUUAAAAGAUCAAGUUUGUCGAUUCCAUAUAUUGCCCUUGACGAUCGGUCCACAAUAGUCCUGAGUUUUACGUCGAGCUGAUGAUCUCUGACUCGAUGCGGAAGAAUUAUGCGGCCCUACUGAAGAAAGUGUUGGUGAAGCUCAACAAGUUGCAGGGCGUACCCCUGGUGAGUUGUAUUGUAUACAACUUUUUAAUGCUUUCACUUUGGAUCCUACGUGGGUGACCUGGGGCACAAAUGUGAGCUAUUUUAUGGCCUAGCUUCACCUGGAUGAGCUCAUUCAAAGAGGAUAUAUAUAUAUAUAUAUACCACUUUAGCUUUAUCUCACUUUAGCUUUAUCUCAAAUACUUCGUUCGUUCGAAAGGUGUAAUGUGGGCCGUGCAGUGCUUGUGCCAGGUUGCAUGCCAGUCCAGUAGCACGACACAAUCGACUUGCAUCCACAUGUUGGCCGUCCGUGCCGAGCUGCAGGCCGGCGAGAUUUAGACCUGCAUGGCCAACGCAUGAUGCACGGGCCAGACCGUACGAUGCCAAUCGACUUGCAUCCACAUGUUGGCCGUCCGUGCCGAGCUGCAGGCCGGUGAGAUUUAGACCUGCAUGGCCAACGCAUGAUGCACGGGCCAGACCGUACGAUGCCAUGGGCCGGCUGGCCGCAGCCCCGCAUGGCCCACACAUGAUGUACAGGCAGAGACUUUAAAUUAAAGUAGUGAAGAUUUUUCUCUAUUACACUAAACACAUAUUAACGUGUGAAGACUCGAAUUCAGAACCUCCUAACUUCUUUUAGCAUAUCUAUAUUCGGCUCUUCAUCAUAUGUGACAUUAAUUCGAAAAAGUCUCCAUUAUAUAAGAUUGUUGAUCUUGUUUUUAUUGCGCAGAUGAGAGUUACUUAACAAAAUUGGUUACCUGGACACUUGCAUAGACCGGAUCCCUGGAAAGAAAGGCAUCUGCCUCAAACAUCUUCCUUCAUUUAUCAGAACAACAGAUCCUCGCGCCGUCUCACUAAGCAUGGAAAUUGAAUUAGCUAAGACUUGUUCAAGAGCUUCCGGUUUAAUGUUCGACACGUUCGAUAACCUCGAGAAUGAAAUCAUAAAACCUCUGAUUGCAUAAUAAGAUGAAGCCUAUGCACUUGAUCCUUUCGAAAGCUAUGAUUGCAUAGAGUGGCUAAACAAUCAAAAGAAUGUUUCUGUUAUUUAUGUGAGCUUUGGGAGCACCAUAUCAAUAACAUCCCAGGAUUUAACUGAAUUAGCUUGGCGACUCGCAGAGAGCAACUUUGCCUUCAUGAGGAUCAUUAGGCCUAGUUUAGUAGAAGGCGGUGUCGAAGCAUUUCUAAGGAGUUCAUCGAGGAAACUAAAGAAAAGUGUUUCUUCGCUAGUCGGUGCCGACAAGAGGAAGUGCUCUCUCAUCCUUCUAUUGGUGCUUUCGUAACUCGCAACGGUUGUAGUUCGAUGUUCAAGAGCAUCUGCAGCUACGUGCGGCGAUGGUUUGUCGGCCAAGAUACGCAGAUGAAUGCGCAAACUGCUUUUUGGCUCGCAAGAAAUGGAGAGCAGGGAUAGAGAUGGACCAGGAGGAAAAGAGAGAAAAUGAUAGAGAGGUGGUGAGUGUGGUAAUGGAAGUAAAAAAAAAAAAGAUGAAAGGGAAGGGGAUGAGGGAGAGUGCAAUAAGAUGGAAAGAGAUGGCACAAGAAGCUGCAAUGUGUGGAGGGUCUUCAUAUGACAAACAUGGAGAGGUUACUAGGGGACAUGAAUGAAUCCCCAAUCUCCUGAUGAAUUAAAGGAUAGUAUUAAGACAAAUAUGGUAGGCCUGUAAUCUAAAUAAGAUAUAUUUCCUAGCUAAUCAUGCGGUGUUUUAGAGUUGCUCUAUGUAGCAUGAAUGAAUCAUAACAAACAUUCAAAAGAUCGCGAAUGUGAAUCCACAUUUAAAAUUUUCAACAUUUCUUCGCAUGGUAUUCGAAAUGUCUCGCGACAGAUGAUUCAUUGAGAAGAUGCCUGACAAGAAUGUUAAUAAAAAAAAAAAAUGAAAAUAAUCAAAAAACAAAUAAUGAAGAUUGUUUAGUAAAUAUCCUAGGGCACAUGUCACAACUCAUGAUCAUCCAAUUCACUUUGCCCUAGUCAUGAAUCUUUUGUAGGAGGGGAAGAGAGAAAAAAAAUUAAAAAAAUUAAAAAAAAUCUCUGCUUAAUAUCACUUAUUUGAGCGAGAUUAAAUCUUCUCAUGGUACUUCCGAGUCGCCAAAUAUGUCGAUGAAUGAAGUGAGAGUUGAAAAAUAUGCAAACUGGCUUCUUCAAGCAUCUGUGCUCUCGGCAUUUGAUCCCGCCGCCGACGGCGGUUGUGAGGCAUGAGAAUCUGAGACAAUCAAGACAGUUGAAAAUUGUAACCAUGUUCAAAUAUAUAUGUUCCAGAAAUUAUAUCAUUUACAUGUUAGAUUUUAUUUAUCAGAUCUGAAGUUUUAGUUUUCCUGCAUCAUAACUUCCAGGGAGUGUUGGCAUGCCAUCUUGGGACAGCACAGUUUAUUGGACGUGAUAAAAAUUGUUAGUAUGUUCUCCAAAAAAAGUUGAAACUACUAAUUUAGGAAGUAUGAGUGUUAGAUAUUGAAUAUGACUGCAGAGUAAAUACAAGCAAAUACCAUUUUCUUUAAUCAGACAAAUCCUAUACUUCAAUAGAAAGGACUAGUUUUUAGUUUUGUGCCUUAAAUUUGGACGAGAAAAAAUAAAAGCAAAAAUAAAAACACUGCCAAUGCCACAUGCAUGGUUUAAGACAUCAUGUCCUGUAAGUACUAAAUGUUGGGAAUAAAUUAAAUGCCUUGCAUUAUAGGUGCAAAAGUUCUGCACAUCAAUGUGCAUAAAAUUUCUGCACACUAUAAUCUAGAAUCAUCUGACAAAAGGUGGGAUUGAUCUCCACCAUUGAAUUUCUUCUUCUUGGUGGAGAUUGAUCUCGUCUUUUAUAUGGAUGAUCAAAUAAGGGUGUGCAGUAAAUUUUUAUACACUAGGAUAGUUAAAAGUAUGAAUUGGCAUAUUUGCUUGUGAGUUAGACUGAUGUACAUGCAAGUAGCUAAUGAUCUAUUGAUGUUCAACUAAAUGUCAUAUGUUAAAUUUGAAAAUUUUAGACCAAUUUCUAAUUAUUAUAUUUAUCGUAUCAACUCAUCAAUAAUAAUAUUUUAGGUUACUGUACACAUGUAACUAAUCAAAGUAAUAUGCACAAAGAAAUACUGUAUGUACGUACCCUCAAACGUGAGGUAUAAAUUAUACAUCCAUCCAUCUAUCCAAAAAAUUUACACAUUUUUUUAUUUUUUAAUAUUAUAACAAAUUAAUGAGAUUAGUAUAAAAAAUGUUAGUCCUUUGAUAAACAGAACGUAAAAUUUAUACUUAUUUUUUGAAUAUACAGAAACUUUUAUAAAAGAUUACCUGUUAUGUUGAGGGGUUGUUGUCUCACGUGAGGAGGGUGUUGGAGUUGAAAGUUAGAAGGCAAGGAUGGCGGAGGAAACGGCCCCUCCAUCUGGGCCGUCGGAUACUGAAUGUACGGUGGAUGCGGCCUGUGCUGAGGUGAUUGAAAACUAGUCCUUGGAUUUGGCAUGGUGUAUCCCACACCCGUAUAAUGGUACGGUGGAGGGCCCACGGUGGAUGGUGAGGUGGCCCCAUACAUCUGGUAGUAUUGCGGAGUCAUCUGAGGAUUGUACACAGCCUGUUCGUAUUUAACAUUUACUUAUUUACAGUAUAGUAACGUUAUAAGAAAAUAUCUAGAUAUAGGAAAAGGAUUAAGGAUUCGAUGAUACAUAUGUACAGAGCUAGGCUGCGAUACUAUCGGUAGCCGAUAGUAUAGCAACGGGACUCCGUAUAUACAUAUGUGCGUUAAUAUAUGGGAGAGCCUGAUCCGAUUAACAUCAGCUAAAAUUUUCGUAGUAUCAAAAUCGGAGCUCAUAAUGAAUCAGAAAUGUCAAAGAAUAAAAUUAGAGCUUCACAUACUCGUUUCUGUAGCACAAUUGGUUUUGAAUUUCAAAUCCAUCAACCAACUAUUCUGAAUAGCGAUAAUAAUAAUUACUAUUUCAUACGUAAGUAACGCUUGUUCUCUUUUUCUUUUCUUUUUUUUGAAAAAGCGCAUAUAAAUAUAUGUAACUUUUGUGAUUAAAGUUCACCAACCAAGUGGUGGUUUCAAAAUGUGCAUUAAUAUCUUGAAUUGAUUGUGAUAUGAAUAAAUUUUGGACUUAGUCACUAAACACCAAAUAUCCAAAAUAGAAAAAAAAAACGAAGAAGAAGCUAAUUUUAGUUGAGAUAAGAGGAAGCACUUUACUUGUUGGUAUCCAUAAUCAGAUGGGUAGGUCAUAUACCUGCAAAAGUAGACACAGUAAUAAGUGGAUAAGCUAACAAUGGAGGCACUAUAAACGUAGUGGACUUUUGGGCCCACCAACUAUUUAAAGCCCAAUUAAUGAGCUCAUUGGAGUACAUUGUCAGAGAACAGGACCAUCCAUAAUUUUCAAAUUGAGAUAAACCAAUAAAUAUUUUUGCAGUUCCACAUGGACCUUGAUGUGCCUAUAUACACAUAUAUAACCCUCCAUCAGAUUGGCCCAAGAAAAUCAAACAGCAAUAUAUUUAUCAACAGUCAUAAUAAAGGAGCAAUGGCCUAUAUAUCCCUGAAAAAUAGAGAAACUGUGAAUUAUCUCCUAUAAAAACAUGAUAAAACCCUUUAAAAACAAUUUUUAGCAAUUCGAAUUGCGAGAUAUUGGCAGUCGAUUGACGUGAACAAACAGUCAUUUGAGAGAAUGUAUUUAAACUUUAGAAAAUAAUUUUUUUAAAAAAAUUGCGGAGAUAAUAUAGGCGUUUUCCGUGCGGCCGCAUGCAAGGCUCAUUGGAGGCAUUAAUUCUGAAGCAAACAGAGGCCACUUCAGAAUGAUUCUAUGGUGGAGCAGUGGAGAGGGUCCACUGAGUUAAAUGCCUGUGGCCAUUGCUCCCCCACCUAUCUAUUAAAUAGGCCUUCUCUUUGGCCCAUCUGUGCCUUGGGUGGGACCGAUUCUAUGUUAGUAAAGACUACUUAGGCCCAGUUUGGGAAAGCGUUCUUCGAAUACACUCGAUUACACUCGCUCCAUAUUUUAGAGGGCACCUGCAAACACUGGUAGCGCUUGCGAGCUUUCCUCCUCUGAUACUCUAAUAAGUAGCGGUUGGAACUACUGUCACCGGAAAGCGUUUUACCGGAUACUUCUUUAGUAGUUACUCUAACGCUCUAAAAUGAAUUUAGAUUUUCUUUUUGUGACCUACGAGCCGGCAAAGCGAGCUUGUUGAAGCAACUCAUUCCCAAUUUACGUGCUCGUCAAACAAAGGACCAAUCUAAUGUAUCCGUGCGUGAGAUUCAUAAGCCACGCACAUAAUUAUUUCACUAUAGCAACUACAUGCAACAUGCAUGUUAAAGAUUGUGGGUAUUUGUAAGAUAUAUAUAGUUUUUGUAUCGGACGCAUACCCGAAUUGAGUAGGGUAGAUUACUGGUGGGUGAGGAGGAGGCAUUUGGGCUGGCACUCUGCUAUAUGGUGGGCCCAUGGUCUGUGGUGGGCCCUGGUAUGGGGGCCCAGCUGGAGAUCUCCCUGUGCACAACAAAAUCUCCUUUAGGUCAGAAAUUGGAUUAGAGGGGGCAAAAAGAAAAUAAAAAAUGGCACAGGAUGUGCAAUAUUUAAGUAAACUAAUGGAUCUAGAAUUAGGUUAAUAAUUCGAACAACUACACAUGAGUUAGUACACCUACAGUUUGCUAAUCGCUUCGAUUGUAUCUUCUCUCUUGUUAAACUACCUCGGUGUUCCUUAAGAAAUGUAUGAAAAUAUUACAACAUAAGCAUCCAGACUUAUAUCUUGUUGCUUAUCGGAAAGACGAAUACGCUUGUUUUAAUGGCGCAAGUGGUCGCAGCAUCAUUAUGAUGUUGGUCUUCAUAUUCUUUUAUCUCUACUAAGUCUGCAUAGAAUAUUACCCUAUGAUUUUAAUAUGAGAAAAAAAGAGAAAAGAAUCACUAAUGGAUGGGUGGUCUACAAGCUCAAAAGUAGUCUUCUUGGUGUUCUUGGUCUUCCAUUUGACUUAGCCAGCGUAGCUAAACCAAACUAAGUGGUUUACUUGGAUCAUACCGGAUAAGAUCCAUAUUCUAAAUUAUUGUCUACAAGGAACCGUUUAAAAAUAAUACCUAUCAAAAUAACAUUAUAGCUCAUUGACAACCCCAGGCUUGGUAGCUAGGCUAGCUGACCUAGAACAGCGUCAUUAAAUAUGUGUUCAAACGUAUAACUGUGAAGCAUAAUGUGAUUCCAACAUAAUGCACUCCCUUUGACCAAUAAUUGAAACCUUUAAUUAAUAACAACAUCAAUUUUCCACACAAUUAAACCUUAUGAGCUAACGUUUGGAUAAAGAGGAUAUUGAGGCAUCGUAGAUAUGAAUAAGAUGGUAUCAGAAUCCAAGCCUAAACUAGCAAAUCUGCAGUUGAAUUUUAUUCUAUUCAAAUCUUAAAGCACCGUAGAAUAAAAUUGAGGGUAUAUAUAUAUAUAUAUAUAUAUAUAUAUAUAUAUAGUCCGGCUAUAGUGCUUAUAAAAGCACGAAGUACGUACUUGGUGCUUGUAAAUUUUUUUACAGUUAGCUCUAUACCUUUGAUCAUUUCCAAUCGUUAGAUUAUACUAUUCAACCAACCACCCACUCAAUUCUAGGAGGCCUACAUCAUUCUAACCGCAUAUUCUUUAAUCCAAUGAUAAAAAAUCUAUAAGCACCAAUAACUUUGUACUUUUAAAAGCAUCGAAGCUCAAUUAUAUAUAUAUAUAUAUAUAUAUAUAGCUAGGCUCCUAUACUUUCGAAAGUACGGAGGUCUCCGUGCUUGUAAGUUAUUUUCAAUGAUGGGACGUCCGAUUCGGCGAUCGGUUCCGUUAAACAAGAUCUACGCUAUUGGAACUAUCUAGAAACCAAAUUUCAUAAUUUUUGACUUCGUUUGCCUAGUGAACGAGUAGCCUCAAAAUGAACGGCUAAAAAUAAAAAUCUCAUAAAAAAUAGUGAUAAAUGACUCAAAUUUCAAAUCGGAAAUAUUGUUCUUGCUCUUAAUGUUAAGUAGAAUUUUCUAUUAAAGUUUCAAGUAAUUUGGAUACUUCUACACCAUUGAACUUAAAAACGUGCCACAUCGGCCGUUAAAAUAGUCAUUUUUGAGACCCUGUGAUUGCUUGAUAAAUGAUGUCAAAAAAUUAUAAAAUUUGGUUUCAUGAUAGUUCCAAUAGUAUAGGUUAUGCCUAACGGAGCCGAUCGUCGAAUUGGAUGUCCUAUCAUCGAAAACAACUUACAAAUACGGAGGUCUCCGUAAUUUUGAAAGUACAGGAGACGUACUAUAUAUAUAUAUAUAUAUAUAUAUAUAUAUAUAAUUGGACUGGACUACUAUUAGUAGCAAAAUCCCAUUGUUGCUACCAGUUUUUUAGCCUUUGGAUCAACUCUUUUCAUCAUUUCUAAUCAUUGGAUUAAAUACUAUAANAUAUAUAUAUAUAUAUAUAUAUAUAUAUAUAUAGUUUUUUAGAAAAAAAGAAAAAAGAAUUUACGCGUAAAUUUAGGCCAGGCUGGCUGAAGCCUUGGUGCCACACACACCAUGUACACGAAACUUUUCAGCAACUGUUACAACAUUGGGCCCCACCCACGUCUUUUAAGUCUUAACCCCUCGCAAAUAUCAAUGGCCACCGAAAUUGAGAACGCGCACAUAGUAAUGUACACCCUAAACACCAACCAAUCAAAUUUUCCUAAUCUUUUGUUCUAAGAAAUUGUACUAACGGUUUUGUUGUUUAACAAUAUUAAUCAUGAUCACGUACCUCUCUAGGUGCAGAUCCUGCAAAUCAUACUGUUGCUAUCAUGUCAAAUGAAAAUAAUAAUAAACAAAAAAAUAGUAUGUACUAUUAUAUAUUAUAUACUAUUUACUAUUAAUUAUCAUUAUCAUCAUCAUUAUUACUAAUCAUAUUAUUAUUAAUUUCUCCUUCCAUGUGGUUCCAGCUCACCUCGAGGUGGGGAGGGGCGAGGCCGGCCCUGGGAGGCAAUGUUGCAGUUGGCUCGCCGGCCGUCGAUCACCGGGUUCGGCUCCGACACCGACCGCCUCGCCGAUUCCGCGUCCCGGAACGUUACCUGCCCCAUUUAAUCAAUUCCCAUUUUUUCAGCCUUAAUUUUUCCUAUUAGCUUUUUUUUCUCAAAAAAAAAAAUACUACUAAUGGAUAAUCAACCGUAUUCAUUACACAUAAAUCAAUCUAAUAGUGAACAUUCUAUAUGUGUAGUAGAGUUUUAGUAUGUAUAUAAUUAAGAUGUAUAUGUUUUAUUUAUAAUGAUGAUAGAUAGGAACAAUUAGAAAGAGACUUAGAGAGAUUUUUUUGUAAAAAAAAAAAAAAAAACCAACCGCCUAAAUAACCCACACACGUACACAAAUAAAGAGCACUGUGAUUUUUUUUAAAAAAAAAAAAUUAGUAUGUUACCGUUUCAUUCAUUUAGAAAAUAAAUUUAGCGGCAAGAGAGAGCUUACAAAGCCAUAGCCUUUGGAGCGGCCGGUGUUCUUGUCGCGGAUGAUGACGGCCUCGAGGAUGUCGCCGAAGGGCUCGAAGUAGCGGCGCAGCUCCUCGUCGGGGGUCUCCCACGCCAACCCGCCGACGAAGACUUUCGUGUGGGUCGUGUCGCCGAACCUCGACCGGAACUGCCAGCCGCCGGAAGCAGAAGGGGUGGAAGAGGAAGAAGAAGCAGCCAUCUAUGCAAAUUGAUAACACCACCUCAGCCUCUUAAUUUUCCAGUAACUAGCUAGCUAGCUAGCUAGAUGUAGUAAGGGGGGGGGAGAGGUGGGCUUGGUUUUCUACUAAUGAAAAGAAGACAUGGGUUUCUUUGUAUUUCACCCAAUCAUAGCCGGAGAAGUAGUUAAUUAGUUGGGUCUAUCUCUAACGCAAGAAGAAACCGAUGUUAAUUUCUCGGAUGAAUAUGGGUUGCAGUUUUCUCUUGAUCCUCUUCUUUGGUGGUCUCAGCUCCUUCCAUGUUCCUAUAGCUUCUUAAUUUUGAAGAGAGAGAGAGAGGGAGAGAGAGAGAGAAGAGAAAUAGUAGUAGAGGGAUCGAGCUGGGAAAUUAAGGGAGGGAGGGAGGGAGGAAUCUAGAGAGGGUGGUGCGAAGGGGUAGUUCCGACAGGUGAAAAGGGGUUUCUCGCAGCUGCAUGAGGGGUUUCGAUAUCGAAUGACAGCUGCAUGAUGAUCACCUCCCUUCUUGCUAUUGCUCUCUCUCUCUCUCUCUCUCUCUCUCAGUUUUCCCCCUUGGUGUCCUCUGUCCUCUCUGUCUCCUUCUCAAAGUCCUUAAAAUACAUAUACAUAUCAAGUAAAAGGUCCAUUCCCUCUCACCAUCCCUCUCUAUGUGGUUGUUACUAUUAAUUAUGAAAUUUAGAAUGAGUCAGUAUUAUACACAUUAAAAUUUAUUUAUUUAACUUUUAUUUCAACUCAAGACCUAACUAUAGGAUGAGAGUGUAUUUAAUGCGAGUCCAAUUAUAAGCAAAAAUUUUCUACUCAGCUGCUAGUGUACCAAUGAAUUUUUUUUCUCUCUCACUUCUCUUACUUGAUUAUAAUAAAAUCUUCGUUAAAUCAGAGGCUAAAAUUACCGCCCACUUUUUUUACAGAUUCUUUAUAUCACACUACCUGAUCAGUAGCAAACUCAUCAAUUGCAUCACAGAAAAUCUGAUUUGCUGAUAGCGAAACUCAAUUUUGAAAAGCCAAACCACUGUCGAAUUACCAGUAUAAAAAUUUACUGGACGACAUUACGUACCGGGAUCUUCAAGGGUACCAAGGUAAUAUUCACUCUUAGCCUAAAAUCUGCUCACAUCCCAUGUUUUGUAGCUAAUGAAGAGGGUGGUGUGAUGGAAAAAGAUGGAUAUGUCUAAUUCUUUUAGUCCUCAUCCCAUCUGUCCAACAACUGAGCCAGAUAGACUGAGUUUAGGAUAUAAGUGAUAGAGUGCGACCAAACCACACCUCGUGAUUCAACCAAGAUGGGCCCAAUUCAGGGUGUCAUGAUCCUUUAAUGGAGCUUAUUGGUCGUUGUCGUUAAUUAUAACCGAACCCCCCUAAACCUCUUUGUUAGCUCUGAUUAUUUUUCUCCUUUAUCAAACAACUCUCCUUAAUUAAGCAUGCUAAUUCCGUACGUUAAGCAGUGGAUUAAUGCAUGGAACAGGACCACUUCGCAGUUAUAGCUUUAAUUUCGUGCUCUCACCCUGUACCCACACGCUAGCAUCUUUCCUAGGAAAAUAAAGAUGUUUUAAGAUAUAUAAUUAGGCGGUGCGGUGCAUUGAUAGUUGGUCAUCACACUACAACACAAUUAGAUUAUAGCGAUAUAUUUUUAAAAUAUUUUUUUGUAAGUGUCCCAUUUAUACCAAAAUUUUUAAAAAAUUCUAUUAAGGGGUAUAAAUAUAAAACUCAAUUCAACCAAAUAUAAAAUAUUACUCUACUUAUCCCAUUCUACCCAGCCUAUUUGUCCCGAUCACAAAUAGAAAAGAAAGAAAAAAAGAAGAAAAAUAGAUCACCAUCUUUCAUUCUCUACUCACUCAAUACAUUGAAAUCCUAGGCGAAGAGCCCCUCGCUCUCCUCCUCCUUCGCGCCACAGCCGACGAGAUAGAGUUCCGACGGUUGUUAAAUGCUUAAAUAAAUAUUGGUAAAUUAGCAGUAUUCUCUUUAAGUUAUACCAACACUCUUAAAGUGUUACUAUAUACCUAGUGAUUCUAUAUAUAACAAUAUUUUUAAAAAAUAUCGGUAAUUUAGCCAGUAGCACAUUUUUUGACUUAUACCAACAUUUAAAAGUGUCGCUAUAUAUCAUUUUUGUUGUAGUGUCGGAACAUAAUUUGCAAAGCUUCAGUUAGAUCCUUAAUUGUUUCAUUUUUUUUUAACAAUAAGAUUGGGCCUUUGUGUUCUUUUGAUGAAAAUGAUUUGAAUGCAUGCCAGGUAGAGACAUUCAAUUAAGAUCAUAAAAUAAGUACAGUACAGAAAAAGAAAAUAGAAGAAACUAGAAAACCAGGAAAUUAAGCCAAUGAUUGAGCCUAAAUUAGCCCAUCUGUUCUUUUAAUUAUAAUUGAGACCGUCAAUUUUCUCACGGAUAUAUCACCGUAUAUAGUUCAUGAAGGAAUUUAAAUACGAAGAUUCAGAUAAAUAGGUAUAUUUCUAAGGUUGCAAAAAAAUAGUGUUUAGGGGACCUAAAUGUAACAUUUGAAGACCUAUCCUGGGAGAUGUGGCAAAGAAGAAACAAAACAAUAUUACUUUAAAUAUAAAAUUUUUGCACAAAAUGCAAUGAUGUAUAUAAAGGACUAAUUUGAAAGAAAAGGAGCUAUAAAAACACACUAAUUAAUGGGCUGAUUAGGUGUUACCCUGAUGCUUGAUUAUAUCCAUGCAAAUGGAAGUUUAAUACUCAUGAUGCUAAUUAUUCAUUCUACAAAGCUUCUCGUGAUAUAUAUAUAUAUAUAUAUAUAUAUAUAAAAUAUUUUUGUGGUUACAAUAUCUCUUUACGUUCACAACUCACGCACAAGUAGCUUUUAAUUAACUUUAUUAAUAAUCACACGACCCGAGGAAAUAGAGAUGUGGGCAACUUAUAAUGGGAAAAGCAAAUCAGUUUCUGAGUUAGUUUACUUAAAAUUAAUCACGGAUAUAUAGAUUAUUAUGUGCCCAAAUAACGAAUGGCGUAUAGUACAAUAAUAAAGAAUUCUUUCUACCUCAUUUUUCACUUUAGAAAAAGGCCAAGCAUGUCCUUGUACAAACUGUACCAAACUGUAUACAUUCAUAUGCUUUGUCACGCCACCUACUUAGCAACCUUUUAAUAUGAUCCUUUUUCUGCUUUGUAGCUACUGUUUAUGGUGGAGCACACACCAACUUGAGAUUUGGACUUUUUAUCGAUCAUGAGAGAGAGAGAGAGAGAGAGAGAGAAAUCAAGAUGAGCAAGUCUUUGCUGUAACAGAUGUUUUAUAUAGAAAAUAAUUUUUAUUUUAUACAUUUUCAUCCUUUUUAAACUUACGAGGAUAAAUUUUUUAUGCUAUUAUAUAUCAUUUCCGGCAUAAGUGGUAAAAGUUUUGAUAGUUAGUAUCUGAGCUGAGAUUUAAGUUCAAAACUUAAUUAUUUCAUAUUAAAAAAAAAACCAAAAUAACUGGUAAUAUAAAUUAAUUAAUUUUCAAAUUUGAAAUCUGAUAUAUCAACCAUCAAGCAUUUUAUCAUUUAUAUUAAGAACGGUCAGUGUUGUUACAGAGAAGAGUUAAGAAAACUCUGCCGAAAGAAUUUGACAGGUUGUUUGAAAUUAAAUUUUGAUUUGAAUGAAAAGUGUAUAUAUGUGUUGCUCACCGGCACCUUAAAAAAAAAAGAUAAACUUCAAAUAUCACUCCUAUAGUUUCACGCUUUCUCACUUUAAUGCUAUAUAAUUUAAAGUGUAUCAAUUUAGUACUCUAUGAUUUUAUUUUGUUAUUUUUGUCCAUCAAUUCGUUAACUUUUCGUUAAAUAAUAUACAAAAAUACUUAAGAUAUUUCACAUAUAAUUUAUUGAAUAUUUAUUUUAGUAUUCUUUAGUUAUAACUUUAUUACUGAUUUAGCAAAAAAAAUUAAUGAAGGAGAUAACAAAAAAAAAUAAAAGUAUAUGGUAUGAAAAUGAUACACUUUAAACUAUAAAAUAUUAAAAUAAAAAAAUAUGAAACCUCAGAUAUUUGUAUUUAAAGUUUUUCUAAAAA